rnacentral:lncRNA from 1 species
GUCUUCAACUUCUUGGUGGGUCUGUUUUUUCUAGAACUUGUUCAGAAAUUUGGUGUUUCUCCAGUUUAUGGAAGCUUCGGUGCUGUUUCAUUGUUGGCAGCAGCCUUUGCUUACUUCUUUAUAGUUGAGACUAAAGGUCGAUCCCUUGAAGAGAUUGAAAUGUCACUAAAUCCCAAAUUUCAGGGUAAACGUAAUUCAGAAUAAUCUCAUCUUAUGGGUCAAGCUGAAGAAAAAUUGGAGAAACUGCAGGGGCUUGUGGAACAAAAAGUCGAACAACAGUGUGCAUAACACUAUUCUAUGCGCGAUUUUAUACUAGUAGUUAAAGCAACAUUGUAAAUGAUAGUUUGAUAUCACUCUUGUAUUAUGUUUGUUCUGCAAACUCAAAAAGGUCAUUUUUCUUCUUCCAAGGGCAUUGUACAUUAUGUUUAGGUUCCCUGUAAAUUGUUGGCACCAUUUUCAGCUUCAAAGAAAGAGAUUAUAUCUCCCCGGAAACCCCUGCCUACGUCGCCACUUAAUAUUCCUUGGCCUGCAUUGGCCAAACCAUAUGGGCACUAUGCCAAAUGUGAGCUGGAUCACUUAGCCACGCUUUAUGAUUAGAAAAACGAGCAUCGCGGAUUUGGAAGGCAGGCUGUAUGUAAAUCUUACCUUACUAGAAGAGAGGUUCAGUUCAAGUGUAGUGAAUUGGAGUAAUGCACUACUGGAAAUUUUCAUUCAUAAGGCAGAAUACUCAACUAUUCUUCAGAGCAAUUGUUUGAAUUGCCAAAAUACAUUAUAGAUUCUUAAAUUUAAUGUCAAGUCAAAACUAACUCACAUAAAUUGUGACGUAGAGAGUAUUUAUUAAGACCACUAAAAUAAAAGUUUUUAAAAAGGAUUUUGCAGUGAGAUUUCUUUUAGGUAGUGGGGUCAUAAUAUCUGCCUCAGUAAGAUCAGUUGAUUUGAUUUCAGAGUGUGCUUUCUUGAUUUAUUGUCCUUGUUAACCUUUCUUUUUGUGUCUUCACCUUGUUACUCUUAUUUGGUUGAAUGAAUUACAGAAUUUUGUACUUUCUUAUUUCUUAUGACUAUACUUUGUACUUCUUGACAGAAAUUUGAUACUUCAUUGAACUAUCUCAUCCAAUGCAUUUCACCCGGGGAGUCCUCGUAUUGCAUUCCUCUUUUGUCAUAAAAAAAUAUGUGUAAUAAAACAUUAUUAUCUCUAUAUAAUAACUGAGUUCACGUUUCAACAUAAUUUAAGUUGAGUUUGAGAAACAAUAUCAAUAGAAGUUUAAAUGUGACAAAUCAAAAGGGACUUUAUACCAUUCUCACAAAUAAGUGGGCGUACAUAGAUUAGGUUGGUUUGCGUUUUUUAAUUAUCAAAUCAAAUUAAUUAUAUUAGGUUUUUAAAUCAAUAAAUCAAACCAAACCAAUAGAAAUCGAAUUUUUCAAUUUCGAUUUUUACAAGUAGGUUCUCGAUAAGAUCUUCAUAGUACAAAACAUAUAACUUGUGCUUCAAAGUUCAUAACACAAAAUAUAUAACUUAUCUGCUUAUCUUUUCCCAGAAUCUUUAAAAGUUGGAAUCCUUUUGAAGGCAUUUGUUUUUCUUUUUUCUGUCUUCCUUUUCACACUAUCCAUUCUUUUAUCUCAAAAAGUUUUUUUUCUUCUAAUUUUAUUACGUCUAAUUGAUGUAAAACGUCAUAGUUUCUCUAGCAGAAUAAUUCCUCCAUACGAAUUUCGUACAUACAAUUGUUCCUUUCUUUUUUUUUAGCAAAUGGAUAGUCAAUUAAGUCAUAUUGAACCAAUUAGUAACAAUUACAGAUUACUUUUCUUUAUUUUUUUCUAGUGAAAGCCUACUCUUUUGUGUUUGAGAGGUACAACACUAUUUGGAAAAUUAUCAAUAUUUAUAUUGGACAAGUUACAAACUAGUUUGUGUUUGAGAGGUACAAUACUGUUGGGAUUUGGAAAAAUUACUACUUAUACAAUAUUAAAACAGGACAAGAGUUUGUCCGAAAGAGUAAAUAACUUAUUAUAAACACUGUGCCAUGAUAAGUCAUUGUCUUGAAAGUGAUUUCGAUCCAAUAGGGUAUACAAAUCAUUGUAGUUGGUCGCUCCCCUAGGUUCCACAAUUACUUUUAAACAUGUGCACUCGUGUUUGAAAGUUUGAGGAUUGCCCAAAAAAUAUUCUAAAAAGAAGAAAGGAUGAAGAUAAGGAAUUGCAAAUAGGAUAGUUGAUUUAGAGAAAUGGAUUAUGAAUAUUUAUGGCAUUAAAGGUCAUUACAUCACAUUUACAUAAAAUAAUUUUUUUUAAAAAUGAAUAUAUCUUUUCCUUUCAAAUAUAUUUGAUUUGUAUCCUUGUCGUUACAUUUAAUCAAUAAAGGUAGAAUGAACUCAACAAUAAAAGAUAUAUAAUUAACUCAACAAUAGAAUUAACUCGAUUUUGUUGGGGUUUAUUUACUUGGGGUGGGGGUGGGGUAUCUUGAAAAGCGAUGUCUUGGUUGAUGGUGUAUGGAAGGUAAUAAUGUUAAACAAGUUAUUCCAAAUUCCUUAAUCUUGGGGUUAGUAUUUUAAUCAUUUGCUAAUCUUGUGGUUCAUAUAAUCCUCCAUUUCCUAUUACCAAUUAGGUGUCGUUUGAUUAUUAUAAGGAUAAAGGAUUAUGAAAAAAUUGGAAUAAAUGUAUGAUUAUUUUAUUACAUAUUAAGUAGAAUUUUUUAUUUUGGAAUUAGUGAUUCCAACAUUAGUUAUAUCACAUCAUGUUAUAAUUUUGAUACCAUCCUCUAUAUAUAUAUGGGAUUAACUAAUCCAUAUAUCUCCCAGUAUCAUUUAAAUAAGUUAAGGCCAAAAUUGAAAGUAAACAUUUAUUUCAAAAUUUCUAACUAAUACACAUGUAUAUUUUAUUUUAUUUUAUUUCCCGUAUAUCUAUAUUUUAGUCUAAUAAACUUAACAUCUUCCAAUAAAGACAUGUUUACUAAAUAAUCACAUUAUUAAUUUUCUUUUAUUGCAAAUAAAACAACCCUCGCGUUCUUUUUCUUACUAAUGACACAUUUUAAGCCUUUUUUUAUUUUUAUCAUGUAACCUUACUUUUGAUUUAAUAAUUGAAAUUACUGUUUUUUAAGAGAGUACAUUUAACAAAAUAGAUGGUAUGUUUCGAACUAUGAAGGUAAACAUCUCUAUGAAUUUAACAUUAAUUUCUUAUUAUUUUUUAAAAUAAAACUUAUAUAGUUAUUAGUAACACAUGAACAUAUUAAAUCACAAUUUUUUUUAUAAUUGAUUAAAGUAUUAUAUUGAACAAUAACAGUCAAACAUAAAAUCAGUUUUGCUCCUUAAAUGAUAAAAUUGACAUAUGAAAUGGGACAGAAAGUAUCUCUUAUAAAACAAAAUUAAUAAUUUAAUAGGUCAACUCCAAUCCCUAAAAGAGGAGCCGAAAGCUAAUAGCCAUUUUUCAUGACUUUUUGGUAUUAAUAAUUAACAACCAUAUGCUAUUUUUGUAUUGUAAUUCUCAAGUAUUACAGAAUCUGUUAUUAAAGUUGGCUUUUCUCUACAAAAAGCAAAUAAAACAACAUUUUUUCUUAUUUUUUUGUCACCAAAAUAACUCUCUUCUUGUUCAGAAAAAACCCUUCUUUGAGCAGGGUGAGGGAUAUAGGGUAUUGGAUGCGGGUUUACGGGAACUCAGUAAUUUUUAUAUAAAUUUUAUAUUUAUAUUAAGAAAUCUAUGAAAUAUAUAAGAAAUAUAUGUUGAAAACCUAAUAACAAAACAGUCACUUGGUCCAAUGAUAGUGAAGAAACCCACCUAAGCUUAGCUGCCCUUCUAUAUAGAAGUUCGAUUCCCUUUGGACACAUAAACAAAAAAAAUUGAGAUUAUUAAAAAUUCAUAAAUUUCAAAUUCUAUUUCAAACUUUCUUUGGGUAGAUCACUUCUCAUUAGUGUGAAAGGGAUCAAAUGUCAUACUUACCCCUCAACUAUAAGAAAUAGUAUAAAUUUGCUCUCCAUUUAUAUAUAUUUGGUCACAACAUAAUUGAAAUGUACUUGUUUAUUCUUUGUGCUUCACUAUAUUAGUUGCUUAUUAAUUUCAAUAUUUCUUAUUUAUUGUCAAUAAUUUUUAUAUGAUAAUUGGCUUAUAAGUCAAAAGUUAUAAGCUUAUUUACAAAAACUUUUACUAUUGCUAGUCUUUAAUGUUUAACUAUAGCUUAAUUGAACUGCUUAUCAAAUGCCUUGGUUAAGCCUGAUUUGAGAUAGUUGAGUGUCAUCACAAUUUUAAGAGGUAUUGAAUUAUAACAGUAUUUUACUAGACACAACUUAAGAAAGAAAGUAAAAAUACCAUUAAAAUUUGUCCCUUCAAAAUAAGUUAGACAUUAAUUAAGAAAGAAUGUUUUUUUGUUGACAUAUUAAAAGAUAAUAUAAUAUUAUAUAAAUUGAAAACAAAUAUAAUAAUAAUUUUUUGUGAAAAAAUAUUUUAUAAUAUAGGCAUUCAUUGAAGGGAAAAAUAUUGUAGUAGUUAAUGACAGGAUAGGACAUAGAAGAGUAGUAGUACAAAUAUACAAUGAUGACAAGGAUCAAACAGAGCAGUAUAGUACUUUGUAUAGAUCUCAUCUCAUUAAAUCUCCAACAACUACAAACUGAAAUUUGCAGUAAAUUACAUGAUCAAUUAACAUCAAUGGUCUCUUCAUCUUUUAUUACCCUUUACCUACCUCUCAAAAUCUAGCAUUUAACAAUAGAUUUGACAUCAAAAUUUAAGAAUUUAUCGUUAAAUAUCUAUUUAAUCGUAGAUUCUGAAUUACAUUUUGAGAAUUUGUCUUUAACAAAACUUCAUGGGACUUCAAAUAUCAAUUUUUUUAAAAAAAGUAAAAUACAUAUGCAAACACAAAUUAAAUUCAAAUUCCACAAUUAUAACUUCAAAAACUUAGAUCUUCAAGUUUUAAGUUUAAAAUCUAUGGAUCUUCCUAAAAACAAAAAAUAAAUGAUUGUUCAUAACCCUUUGCCAGCGAAAGUAAAAGGUUUGUCUUUAAGUCGAGCUCGUCACAUCAAAUUUGUUUAGUGCAUGUUACGAGCUAUUACAUAAGAGUGAGGGUUUUAUCUUGUGCGCUUUCAAAGGAUUGAGGCGAUUUCCCUUGAAUUGUUCAUUGAGCAUUCAUAAAUAAAGCAGCACAACUUUCUAAUGGCUAUUUUUGGUAAUUGACCAAAAUGAAAUGUAUGCAAGUCUAUAGUAGUAUAUAUAAAAAAGUUGUUAAGGAAAAUGUUUGUGUAGAAUGAUAAUACUGAGUAUAUAAUUAGAGGGGAAAUGAUUUGCAACUUUGUGAAGAGAAUCAAAUUUUGUGGACCAAAAGUAAAAAAGUGUCAUGUCUUAAAUUUGUAGAGCAAUGUCAGAUUUAAGGUUAUGAUGAUUUAGUUAAAUUUUUGUACAAAAACAGUUUGAUUUUUCAGCUGAAUGAUAUCUCAAUUUUGAUUCUUGUGGGGUAUGCACCUUUCUUCCUUCAACAUAAUGUACAUCCCAAUUUGAAUGUGUAAUCUUUUCCAUACUUGAAGUGUUAUACACUGUCACUUUGUUUUAAUUUAUUUGUCUGAUUUUGAUUUGAUACGUUUGACAAAGUACAGAAGAUUUUAGAAUUUUGUGAUCUUAAACUAAAGAUAUACUUCCUCUGUCUAAUAAUAGUUAUCCAUUAUUAAUUUGAUACAUGGAUUAAGAAAUACUAAAUGAUAGGAGUAAUUUUACUAAAUUAUUCUUAUUAAAAAUAUAAGUCAUCUAAACAUUAAAAAAUGAAUAGUAGUAUUUAAUAGCAAGAGUAAAAUAGACACAAAAUAAUAAAUUAUUGACAUUCCAAAAUAAUACAGUGGACAAGUAAAGAUGGACGGAGGGAGUAUAAAAUACAUCAAAAUAUACUUUAAUUGUGUUGCCUUAAACAUGACAGGUGAAAGUAAGAAUUAAUUAAAAAAUUGCCGAUAAAUGAAAAAAAUCAUUCUUUUUUAACAGAUUUAAAAAUUAUCAGAUAAAUUAAAAUAAGAGAAUUAAAGUUGGAGAUGAGACAUCUAGUGGUGAUCGAUUUCGUGAGUUUUAGGUGUUAAUGAUUAGAAGAAAAUAUUUAUAUAUUUUUAUUUUUUCAUUUGAUAUUCGAGAUAUGUGUACAACUAAUAUUUAUCUUUAUAAUAACUUAGUACAGUAUACCCAAAGAUUAAUGAAGUUAUUUUCUACAAAUAUAAUUUUUCAGUAACUGAAAGUUAGUGAUAUAAUACUUGAUUACACAAGUUGAUUAAACAACUUGUUAUCUAAUUCUAUGCACCAAAACCAAAAAGAUUGAUUAAUGAUUUUCCAUUUUCUCAAAGAUGAUGACCAACAAAAAGCAUAUAAGAUACCUUUAUUUAUAAUUACCAGUAUAUAUUAUCAUUACAAUUUCCCCACCAUUUUUGUAUUCUUCUAUAUCUUAUGUUUCCCCACAAAAAAAGUUAUUGUCCUUCCAAUACCAAUCUGCAAAAUUAUUAAUUUUCCACUUAAAUGUGUACUUGAUGAAAUUUUUUGAGUCUAAUCCUCUAAUUAGAGUUGAUUUAGUUUGAUUCCUUAAAUGUGUAGAAAGAUUAUAUAUAAUGGGUUUUGACUUUUGAGCCUUCAAAAUACUGAUCGAUAGGCUACGUGCAAGACAUAAGUCUAUGUUCAUUUAAAAGAUUAGCAAUGCAUCUCCAAUUCUAUCCUCUAUUUACUCUCCAAAUAUAGAGUUUUCUAUUUUUUCAGACAAUCAAUUUCAACCCAAUUCUCUAUUUUACUCUCUAAAAAAGAAAUUUUUCUCUCUCUUCAAUAUAAUAUUAUUAUUUCUAUUUCAUUUUUAUUUUCUUAUUUCAUAAUAUAAAUCAUUUCUUAUCUUUGCAAAUAAUCACUCUAUAAUCUUUAUGUAAUACAAAAUUUUAUUUUAUUUUCAAAUUCUUCAUUUAAUAUAAAAUUAUAUAUUAAUCUAAAUUUCUAAAUAACAUAAAUGGCAAUAAAUAUUAAAUAUAAUACAUAUUAACGAACAAUUCAAAAAAAAGUGAAAUCAUUGGUGAAAUAUAAUUACAUCAUAAAUAUUGUAUCAUCAUAAAAUUUAAAAUUUAUUUUAAAUUUUACAUAAAUACUCAACUUUCAAGACUAUUACGUUACUCUCAUAAAUGUUCAAUUAAUGUAUUACGGAGUUUAAAAUGAGCAAUUUUUUGUCCUUAAUUUUUUAGGUGUAGCUAAAAAUUGUUUAAAUUAACAAUUUCAUCUUGUAUCCAAUUAUUUCGUGUACUAAUUUACUUCCCUUUUUUCAUUUUGGACUAUUGCAUCAAAUAUUUUCAUACUCAUUAAAAAGUGUAGUUUAAUAAUUUAUCACUAUAACAUAAAAGUAGAUUGUUUGAAUUAUCAUGUAAAUUUUGGGCAUACUUCAUAAUGAAAAAUAAUUGUAAUUUAAGUUACAUAUUUAAAAUGACAAAAAAAUAAUUAAAAAUUAAAUUAAAAAAAUCGUUAAUUCGGGAUGGAAGUAGUAUACUUAUCAAUUAUAUGUUUUAGAUGUUAUAUUACUUAGAAAAUAAUUACAAAUAUUAGAGACUUAAUUAAUAAUCUUAUAUAAUAUAAAUAAUAUUAAAAUAACUUUAAAUUACAUAUUUAAAAUGACAAUUUUUUUAAAAAAAUAGUUUUUUCUUUUAAUUUGGAUGGAAAUAGUAACUUGUUAAUAAUAUAUUUUUAGAUGUAUAUUACAUUAGAAAAUAAUUACAAAUGAUAAAGAUUUAAUUAGUAAUAUAAUAGAAAUAAUAUUAAAAUAAUCAAAAAGUAAAUGGAGAACUACUGUUCACCUCUCUAUAAUUGAAGAGUACUAGAGAGUGAAAUAGAGAGUGCUUGGAGAACCCAUUCUCUAUUUUACUCUCAAAUAUAGAGAAUAGAGAGUAAAAUAGAGAUGGAUUGGAGAUGAUCUUAAAAAAGUCAGAAGCCGUUUAAUCAUGAGAAUUAUUUAUUUUAUUUUAUUUUAUUUUAUUUUAUUUUAUUUUUAUUUAUUGUAAAAUUAGUGUUUAAUUAUAAAGUUUACAAAUCCAUUUUGGAGUUGAUUCCAAAUUUUACAAAGUGCUUCAAACUUGUUUUUCAACUCAAUUUUCAUAAAUUACAAAUAAAAUAAAAUUAAGAGGGUGUUUGAAUUGACUUAAAAGUUGGUCAAACAUACUUUUAUGUCAUCUUUUAACUUAUAGAGGUGUUUGACAAAUAUAAAAAAUAACUUAAAAUAAGUAAAAAAUGAAUUAAAAUAAGUUAGGAAGUGUUUGACAAGGUCAAAAUGACUUAAAAUAAGUUUUAAAAUGACUUAAAAUAAGUCAAAAAUCAAAAGUAGGUCUCUCCCUACUUUUUAUUUUUUGACUUAAAAGUCAUUUUAAUUUUACUUUUUAUUUUUAAUUUAAAAAUUACUUUUAAGUCAAUCCAAACGAACACUAAAUACAACUCUAAUUAAAUUCCCCAAAAAAAUGAUGUUUUGUUUUUUUUGGAAUUUGGGUCAAACACCUUCUAUUUUUUUCAUGUUUUGAGGAGGGGGAGGUUAGGAAAAUAAACAUUGUAUAGUAGCAUUUUUCCGUAAUACUGACUUUUUUUUUGUAAACUUACUUCUUUAAAUUUUGAUAUUUUUUAAUGAAAAUUUUAGCUCGAUCAUUAAUCCUGGGUUAAAAUUUACUUUUCCCAUAUCCUAUGUAAUAGGGAUCUUUUUUUUUAAAAAAAAACAUUUACAUUGUCAAAAAUGCACACUUAAAAAAAAUAAAAAAGAAGAAGAUAAAUGUGCAUAACCUUUAAUGACAGUUAGGGGUGUUCACGGUUUGGAUAAAAACCGAUCCAAACCGAAAAACUAAACCAAACCGAUAAAAUAAAACCGAUUUUAUUUGGAUUUGGUUUGGUUUGGUUUUAGAUUUUUGAAAACCGAUAGUAUUUGGUUUGGUUAUGGUUUUAUUCGAAAAAAACCGAAGAAAUAACCAAACCGAACCGAUGAAUUAUAUACAUAUAUUUUAUUAAUAUACAUACUUAAUAUAUUAUUUUUAUAAACAAUUUUAAAGAUCUUAUACAUAUUUUCAUUAAAAUUUCUUUAUAAUUUACUUAUUGAAAGCAAAAAUGCCCAAGAUGAAANNNNNNNNNNNNNNNNNNNNNNNNNNNNNNNNNNNNNNNNNNNNNNNNNNNNNNNNNNNNNNNNNNNNNNNNNNNNNNNNNNNNNNNNNNNNNNNAAUACACUAUUAAAUAGUGCAGGGGUAAAAGGUCUUUUCCAAAGUUCGGUAUUGUUAUAGCAAUUUCGGUCAAAAUUCGGAUAUAUUUCAGACUUUUUUUCCUUAAAAAUUCAAUAUAACCUUAUGAUUAGGGGUGUUCACGGUUUGGAUAAAAACCGAUCCAAACCGAAAAACCAAACCAAACCGAUAAAAUAAAACCGAUUUUAUUUGGGUUUGGUUUGGUUUGGUUUUAGAUUUUUGAAAACCGAUAGUAUUUGGUUUGGUUAUGGUUUUAUUCGAAAAAACCUGAAGAAAUAACCGAACCGAACCGAUGAAUUAUAUACAUAUAUUUUAUUAAUAUACAUACUUAAUAUAUUAUUUUUAUAAACAAUUUUAAAGAUCUUAUACAUAUUUUCAUUAAAAUUUCUUUAUAAUUUACUUAUUGAAAGCAAAAAUGCCCAAGAUGAAACAUUUAUCUUAUUGAUUUCAUGUAUAUGAGUGUCUAUAUCAAUUCUUUGUGGGACUGAAAAUGUUAUUGUCUCUUCCUUCUAGGCCAAUAUAGUGAAUUUUAAAGCUUUAUUGAUAGUAAAUUUAGUGAUUGAAAGUUUACUAAUUUAAGUCAUUCUAACUAUUUUUCGUUUUGAAUGGAUUGUUGUCACUUUUUUCACAUUUUAAAUGAAUUGUUUCUUUUAUUUUUGUGUAUGGUUAAUAACUGAAUAACCGAACCAAACCAAACCGAAACCGAUAAUAACCAAACCGAUAAAUGUAUAUUGUAUUUGGUUUGGUUUGGUUUUGAUAAUUUUAAAACCAAUCAAGUUGGUUUGGUUUUGGUUUUGACCAAUAACCGAUCCAAACCAACCCGUGAACACCCCUAAUGACAGUAUAAUACAUUUCAUAUUCUUGGUCAAAAUUGAUUCUUUUGGAUCCUGAAAAACAAAAUUAAAUAUUACUUAAAAUAUCCUACAGAAAACAAAAUUCUUAAUAUACACACCAAUUUUUUGACAUAUAUAAGCUAAAUGUAAAUAACAAACAUAUAUAAAUCAUAUAAUAAUUCAUAGAAAGGCAAAUCAAACUGUUGAAAUUAAUAUUUUUGUCCACCUUUUUUGAAACAAAAAACCGUGUUCACACAAAGAAAAACUAUCUACUUAAAUUGGCAUCAAGUAACUAAAAUAGUACUUACUUAAUAAAAGAGUCCUAAUUACAUGAAUAGUCUCUUCCAACAGAAUUUCACAUUUAAAAUUCAAAAAUUAAAGAGACACAGAGGAAGAUGAAACAUGAAAUUUACCAUUCUGAGUUUUGACUCUUGUGGGACCCAACAACAACAGUGGCAUUUCUGUAAUAUAACCAAUAAUCAGGCCCUUUUUUGUUGAACAACUUUCAAAAAAUAGACUACAAAAGCUCUAUUUGCAGUUUAGUUUUCUUAACUCAGGCUAGUAAAAUCGCACUAGGACGAGGCGUUUGAUCAUGAAUUUUUUUAUAUUUUCGCCUAAGUUAAAUUUUGAAAAACUUGUUUGGUUAUAAGAGUCGGACAUUGUUUUUAUCCAACUUCAACUUUUGAAUAUAUUUUUUUUUCACUUUAAACACAAAAAUAUUUUUUAAAAUACUCACAAUUUUCAUAGUCAAGCCCUAUAAUGUGAAUGUUUGUUUUUAAAUAAUAUACUGAGGGACAUUUAUUCCUUGUAAAUUCUUCUUAGUCAUUUUUUAAUGUAUUUUUCUCUUUUGAACUUGUGGGGUUGGGGGGGUGGGGGUUAUAGUGUUAGUGCUAUUGCUGCUGGCUUGUGCUUUACUUUGUUCUUAGUUCUCUGCUUUCUUUCUCUUGUUCACAAAUAUUCUCUCUUUUAUUUUCUUUAGAGUUUUUGAGUGUGUGUUAAUAUUCUUUCUUCUUUAUGUUAUAUUCUUUGUUUUGAUUCUGCGAAGAGGAAGAAUAGAACCAAAUGACAAUGGCUGACAUUUCUCAUCCUCCAAUGGAACAACUUCAAGACCUUGAGUACUGCAUAGACUCUAAUCCUCCAUGGGGUAUAUUUUCUCUCUUUUUUUACUUCAUGUUUGCUCUAAACUUGCAGUUUGUGUCUUCAUUGGUUUUGAGUUUUGUUUGGAAUGUGAAAAAACAAUGCUGGGGACAUUCUUGUUUUUGUUUAUUUACUCCCCUUGGAGGAGUGGAGUGGGCCAUUUAGAAUUGAUGAGAGAAAGGUUAACAUUUUCAAAGUUGGCAACUUUUGAAACAUUUCUUUGGGGUUCUGUGUUUUUGUGUGCCUAUAAAGGUGAUAUUUUUAGUUGUCUUUACUAAUUGUUUGAUGGUUCAAAAUGGGGUACUGUGAAUGCUGGUUGGCUUGCUUUUGAUAAAAAAAAGAAAUUCUUUUUUGUAUUAAAGAUUGUAACUUUGACAUUUAUUUCUUGUUUAUGAGUGCUAUCUUGCUCAAUCUUGGGCUUUUGAUGUUUCUUCUUUUGUUGUAUUAAAGAUUGGAACUUUGAUGACAUUUUAAUUCCUGUUUAUGACUGCUAUCUUGCUUAAUUUUGGGCUUUUGGGUUGAUAGAGGAGUUCACUUUCCUAGCAUUUCUUAACCAUGUCACAGUAAGGUUUCUUUUUUUCUUUAAGUAAUACACAUUUCAGGUAAAUUCUGAAUGAACAAAAGAAUUUUUUUUUCUGGUUGGUAUUGCAGUGUAAGGCUUGUUAUAAAUGUAGUUCAAUUCAAGGAUAUUUGGAAGGUCUAAUGGCUGAUGAAGCCUUUGCUCAGUUAAUCUCUAAACAAUUGGUUUUUAGAAGAAUGCUGACACAUUAGUGCCAUUUAACAUUGGGACUUGUCUGAUUAUUCAAAUAUUGCUACAAAUAUAAACUUUUCUUGUGCAGAUUAUUGUGUAUUUAACAUGGGGAAACAAUUGGUAGUAUAGAAAAGUUCAAAAUCUUUAAUAGGUUAUGCAAGUGUUCGUUUCGUUUCUUUUUGAACAGUCCCUCCCCCUAAAUUGCUUGGAUUGAGGCGUAGUGGUAGUUUUAGUUGUUGUUACUUAUUAUUGUUUUGAACUGUCAUGUCUAGCUAAUCAUUAGACAACAUCAGUGUGAAGUGUCAUCACUAUCACCUUGUGUAUUUACUAAAGCAAUUUUUUCUUAUCUGCAGUUGAAACCAUCUUGUUAGCCUUUCAGAAUUACAUAUUAGUGCUCGGCACAAGUGUGAUGAUCCCCUCAGCGCUUGUACCCUUAAUGGGCGGAUCAGAUGUAAGCUGAUUCUCUGGUUAUCUUAUCAUAUGUAUCACAGUCCAUGUGCAACAGUGGAAAGAACUGAUAUCUCUGUAUUAGCAUAAAACAGUGAAAUCUCAAGCUUAUUUACUCAUCAAAAAGAUCUGUCAUUUCUCUAUUCAGGGGGACAAAGCAAGGGUUAUACAAACGCUACUCUUUGUGGCUGGAAUAAAUACACUUCUCCAAGCACUGUUUGGAACUCGGUUGCCCGCUGUUGUUGGAGGUUCCUUUGCAUAUGUCAUUCCUAUAGUCUAUAUAAUUAGCGAUUCACAUCUUCAACGAAUUAGUGAUCCACAUGUAGUAAGUGUUUGAAACUCGGUCAUUUCUCAAUCAGAUUUGUUUCAAUGAUCAGCAGACUCUUUGAAGGCUAUAAUAUUUGUAGUCUGUAAAAUGCUACGCCACCAUGUUAGUCCUUUUUUUAGACUGAUAUAUACUGGCAAAUUCAGCAAGUGAGCUUGUACAUGUUUCUUCUUCCAGUUCAUUGCGCACAAAUUAUACCUUUUUUUGUGUUUUCUCUAGUGAUUGAUCUGAAAACAAUCCUUAUGGCAUCAUUAAUUAAAUUAUGUACUGCCUAGGCUGCGUUGGUUUUGUAAACCUGAUCAAUUGAGAUAUAUUGAUCCGUAUUUUAGUUUUUUUUCAUAUUGUACCCAUAAUCUUCUACAAAAAGAUGUUUAAGGAUUUCACUGUACCGCAGAGAUUUGUACAUACGAUGCGAGCUAUUCAAGGAGCUUUAAUUGUUGCAGCUAGCAUUCAAAUUAUUUUGGGAUACAGCCAAGUUUGGGGGCUCUUCUCACGGUAUGGUACUGGUAUUUUAUUGCUCAGUUAGGUAGAGUAAGUACUUGGCCAUAUUCUUGACUGGCUUGCUGCUCAUUUACAGGUUUUUCAGUCCCCUUGGGAUGGCACCUGUUGUGGGAUUAGUUGGUUUCGGCUUAUUUCAGCGAGGUUUUCCUGCAGUAAGUAUUUAUUGCCACUGUUAUACUGGGAAGCCACUUGUCUUGAACUUAUUUCUUGUUAACUCUUUCUCACCAUUGUUGAAACUUGGUUUGAUGCUUUUUGAAGUUCUAUAAGGCUUCUCUUUAUUUUUCCUAACUGGAGCAAAAUAUUCAGAAUUCAAUAUGGCAUGCUAACGGCUGUGUAUAACCAAAAAAAUUUAAUAAGCUGAUUUUUUGUCUGGUUUAUGAUUUGCUUCGAGUUCUAGAAAAAAUUAUUUCUACCAUGAAGUCUCAAGUAUAAUUUUUAUUUUCCUUCUCCGAAUUUAGAUUGUUCGAUUUAUAUGACCCUCGAGUUACUAUCACUAAUUACUCAUAAAACAAGUGGUGAGCUGAAUCAUCUUUUCCCUCUUUUAAUGAAUUGUUUGCUCAUAUUUGCAGCUAGGGAAUUGCAUUGAAAUUGGGCUUCCAAUGCUAUUGUUGGUCAUUGGCUUGUCACAAGUAAGUAGUGCUUUAAAAUAAUGGAACAUUGCUCACUCAUACUCUCUUGAGUUCACUCAAGUAACACUUAUGUUUUUGCAGUAUCUAAAGAAUGUUAAACCAAUGAGGGAUUUUCCAAUUUUCGAGCGAUUCCCUGUUUUGAUUUGUGUUUCCAUUAUCUGGAUAUAUUCCAUUAUUCUGACGGCUAGUGGGGCGUACCAUGGCAAACAUGCUAUAACUCAACAUAAUUGCCGCACUGAUAGAGCGAAUCUCAUUUCUACUGCUCCAUGGUGUGUUUAGUGCUUGGUGUUCUUUUAAAAUACAAUUAUUGAUGUGCCCCAAUGUUUUUAAACUUCCCUUUGCAAUAUAAUUUCAGGUUCAAAUUCCCAUAUCCCCUGCAAUGGGGUCCUCCUACUUUUGCAGCGGGGCAUUCUUUUGCUAUGAUGUCUGCAGUUGUUGUCUCAAUGGUUGAGGUACUUAACAGACCUGCUUCUUUUCUUCAUUCAUUUAGCAAAAAUGAACAGAACUGAUUCAGAUGACGAGGAUAUUUUACAAAGAGCUAUUGAUAGCUGAUCGACGAUCAGUACUUAGCCAAAUUUGUCUUACUGUGCUUGGACUGUUUCUUUGAAGCUUUCCUUAAAUUGGAUGUUUUGAACUCCUUUUUGUAUCUUUUAAUCUUUUCUCAAUGAAAAUAGUAAUGAAUGCCUCUAAAGUUGAAUAAUGUGAGAUCAUUGCAAUACAAUUGCUUUCGUCUUAGUUAUUAUUUUCACUUGAUGAAGAUUCAUUUUCUGUCAUAUGGAAAAUAGUAUUUUCUGACUUUUACUAUGUGCAGUCAACCGGAGCUUAUAUGGCGGCAUCUCGUCUUGCAAUUGCCACUCCACCUCCUGCCUAUGUACUAAGCCGUGGCAUUGGAUGGCAGGUACCUUUUCUUAAUUCUUGUGUGCUAUGCCUUGCUCUUUUUGAUUGCGGAGAAUUAGACAACAUUUCUGGGAAGUUUCUAAUUGAUACUAAUAUUUUGUUGCCAAUAAUUUCGUAACUGUAAAAGCAGAUUCUCAUUAUUAGUUCUUUUGAUUAAGUUCAUUUUUUUUUUUAAAAAAACAAACAUUUUAUUGUUCUAAUUUUCAUUUUGCAGGGAAUAGGCAUUUUGCUUGAUGGACUUUUUGGAACAUGCACUGGUUCCACUGUUUCUGUGUAAGAAUUCAGGCAUCACAAUAUAGCCCUCUCUGUAGUUUGGGAUGAUUUAUAGGUAAGAAGUAACCAUCGCAAUUCAUUUCAGAGAAAAUGUGGGACUUCUUGGAUUGACUCGAGUUGGAAGUCGUAGAGUUGUUCAAAUUUCUGCUGGUUUCAUGAUAUUCUUUUCUAUGCUUGGUAAGUACAUUCACAUUCUAUCAAGUUAUAUAUUUUCCUGAAUACUUUUUAAUUUAUUCCCUUGCUAUUUUUUCUAGUAUUUGAUGUUGAAUUUCAGAAAUACCGAGAUGUUUUAAACUGCACUUUAAAAAAAACUGUUUGCUGUAUGCAGGGAAGUUUGGGGCUGUUUUUGCAUCGAUACCUUUCCCGAUAUAUGCGGCACUGUAUUGUGUUCUGUUUGGACUUGUAGGUAUGCUAUUAUUUCAGAUAACAUAGUUUUAUUUGUGAUUUUCUCCAGAUAGUAAGGUUGGUUUCACUUCUGCAGGCUCCGUUGGAUUAUCAUUUCUUCAGUUCACAAAUUUGAAUUGUAUGAGGAAUCUCAUUAUAACGGGACUAUCUCUGUUCCUCGGGAUAUCAAUUCCACAAUUUUUCAAUGAAUAUUGGUAUCCAGCUCGUCAUGGUCUUGUUCAAACCAACGCCGGAUGGGUGAGUACUAUUUAAAUCACCUGCAGCUUCAAUUAUAUACGUUGGGAUAAGGUCUGCAUACACUCUACCUUCUACAGACCCCACUUGUGGAGUUACACUGGGUAUGUUGUUGUUGUAAAAUUGGUCUGAAAUGUUGGCAUUUUGCUUUGCAGUUCAAUGCAUUUGUCAACACUAUAUUCACGUCACCUCCAAUGGUGGGGCUAAUAGUUGCUGUGUUUCUUGACAACACAUUGGAUGUGGAGAAAGCAAAGAAAGACCGGGGCAUGCCUUGGUGGGUGAAGUUCAGAACUUUCAGAGGUGACAACAGAAACGAAGAGUUCUACACGUUGCCAUUCAAUCUCAACCGGUUCUUUCCUCCUACGUAGCAAGGGUGAAAAGCUUACUUCUCAUUUGCAAUUAAGUUAACCUGAUAGAUAAAAGCCUACAGAUUCGUGAUCACAAGCUAAUUUUUGUAACCUGAAUUUCUUCGAUUUUUUGUGGGCAUUUGCUAAAGAGGUCAGAAAGGGAGCUUUGGUGCAACAGUAAAGUUGUCUCCAUCUGACCUAUUGAUCCCACGUUCAAUAGUCUGAUGUUCCAUAGGUCAAAAUAUUGAUGUGUGAACGUGGGAUGCUACGUGUACCACCCUUUUCAUUGGCUAGCAAGGUCCCAAGUAGGAAUCUAUAGAGCUUACUGAUCAAUGUUGUGUAACUAUUGCACUUUGAUGAAUAAAGAAAAAAAAAACUUCUCCCUCACUUUGUUUUUGUGUAUGUUAUGUUGAGGGAUCUAUAGCAGCAAUGAUUAUAAUGUAAAAAAAAAAUGAGAGAUCAUCUUCGAAACGAAUUGUAAUUUGAGCCUAUUUGGACAAUCCUAGAAAAUCUGCUCAAUUGGAGAAAGACUUUUGAAACUUGAAGUGUUGAAACAUGACUUUUGCUCCCAUUCUGUGCCAAAAUUUCUCAGUUCCAAUAAACAAAACUUACAUAUAUGAAGGAACUAUUAACCUCAGUUGUAGAACUCUUAAGAAUAUCAACUUGAUCACAUAUAGAGCUUAUACUUUAUUUAUUUAACUCAACCAACUAUUGAUGCAAAGAAAUUAUGUGACAGUACAAAAUAUCUAAAUUACACAGUAAAUUCACUCUGGCGUACACUACAUUAAUUCAAGGAAAAAGUUCACGUAACAAACCAAUCGAGCUACUAAGCUUCCUCGAUUAAAGUGGUGUGAGUAACUAGGCUAGGGUAGACCAAAUUUGUUCUUGAGUUCCAAGACAUAAGCAUAGAUUUUGUGAGGAUGAGGAAGGGAGUUUGAGACACUCUCAAUUUCCAUGCAUCUUUUAGCCCAUGCCACUAGUAUUGAACACUCUGCUUCUAUACUGAAAUUUGCACAAGUCUCAUUAGAAUAAAACCAACUAGAGAAAGGAACCAAAGCCACAUCCACAAAACCCAAAUUCUCAUCACCACCAAAGUAUGUUUUGUCUCCAAGCUCUCCUUCCAAUGUCUUGAAAAUUUCUAUUAAGUCCUUCUUUGCUUCCUCUUGAUCUUCACCUUUACCACUCCAAACUCUUCUUCCUGUGCUAUAUAUCUGCGAUAUCCAUAAGUAGUAAAGGAAUCAGUAAAAGUAAAAGAGAAAUUGUUUUUAUCAACAACAACAUUAUAACAUGUGUAGUCUCACAAAGUGAGGUUUGAGGAGGGUAGAGUAUACUCAUAUCUUAUCUUUACCUCAGAGGUGGAGGGGCUACUUUUGAUGUAUUAGAAGUACAACAAACAACAAAUAGUCUCACAUUAUAACCUGUGUAGUCUCACAAAGUGGGGUCUGAGGAGGAUAGAGUGUAAGCAUAUCUUAUCUAUACCUUAGAGGUGGAGGGGCUACUUUUGAUGUAACGGAAGUACAACAAACAACAUAUAGUCUCAUAGUAUAUCCAGUGUAGUCUCACAAAGCGGGAUCUGAGGAGGGUAGAAUGUACGUAAAUCUUAUCUUUAUCAACAAUAAAAUAAUAACCAGUGUAGUCUCACAAACUGGGGUCUUAGGAGGGUAGAGAGUAUGCAAAUCUUAUAUUUACCUGAGAGGUGGAGAAGCUACUUCUAAUAUAACAAAAGUACAACAAAAUAUUACAAUAACCGAGGUACAAAUCAACAAAUGAUGAAGGAUAAGAAACUACAGGAGCAAUACUACGACUAUUAAUAUGAACAAACAAUCAUACCUUUUUAUCUAUAUAGUCAGCCCAAAAUCUGGCUUGGGAUCUAUCAUAAGGGUGAGAAGGAAGUAAGGGAUAUUUGUCAUGCCAAACUUGAUCAAUGUACUCAAGAAUGAUAAGAGACUCACAACAGGGAUUUUUUUAUGAACAGAGUUCAUCUUUAGAAGCAGAGGACUUUUAUCAAAUAAAUUUUCCUCUCUCCCUUCAUAUUGGAUCCCUUUUAAUGCCAAUGCAAUUCUUAGCCUCAUACCAAAUGAGCUUGCCCAGAAAUCCAGUAGAACCACAUUAUUGGUGCCUUCCAUUUUUUAAAUGAAUAGUUAAGUUGGACAAUGAAUGAAAUCACAAAAUACUUUGCUACUUCUAUUUAUACACUAUCCAAAGAGAAAAAACAUAUUUUUGUUGUGAUAAAAUACUCAUAUCGUCAUUAUUUACGUAGGUUUUAGGAGGUGGAAAAUUUGGUUUUGGACACUGAGAAAUUCUUCUUAUCCAAGAAAGUGGAAUAAAAUCACAGCAAGCCAAUUUGGAAAAUAUUUUUUCCACUAGAAAAAACUAAACUUGCACUCUUUGUACCUUGUGUUUAGGGAUAAUUGUGGAACUAGAAUUUCUAAAUUUUAGUUUUGUAAUUGUUAGAUUGUACUUGUCUAAAUAGAAUUUUUGACGAAAUGACCAAUUAUUUAUCCCUCCAAUCAUCUUUGUUGCUCUUACUUCAAAAUAGAAAAGAUUUAGGCUUUUUUGUGUGGGUUCGCUAUAUCUAAUAAAUUUUCUUUUUACCUAACUGAUUGUCUGUUCGUGUUUAUUGUCGGUGGCAUCAAAACGGAUACUUUUUGAAUCCUAAAUAUUAAAGGAGAUCCUUUCUAAAAACACAUACCCAAAAAAAUGACAGUUCGCCCACAAAUGAGUGAAGUAUAAUUCUUUUUGUUAACCCCGCUCACGUGAAUUUAUAUCUCUUUCUUCAACCAUAAAUAUGGGUUAUUCACUCCACAUUUUUUCAUUCAUCUUCUACUUUUUCAUACUUUAUAUCUUGAAUUUUGAAAUUUGAUAGUCAUGUCUCAGCAAUUCAGAAAGUCUGUAUAUUGAGUUGAACCAGAUGUUUAUAAAUGCAAAGAGUAUUGUAAAAUGAAAACAUUGAUGACUCCAAGAAAUUAUGAUAGUAAGUUUUGGAGUUGUGCACAUUCAAAGGUAAAAGAAUUAAGUUGUCCACUUCAAAAUAUAUAAAUAUUCACUUGAUUUCAUUUUUUGUUAUUUCAGAAAAAUGAUGGAUGUGAUUAUUUUCGAUGGAUAGAAAACAUGCUCUUAAAUGAAACAUAAUCAUUCUUUCACGGGUGAGGAUAGCCUCUUUCGACAGUGAUACAACGACUUUACACAUCAAUAUGAAAUUUGUAGAAGAUGAGAAUCUUCUAAGGAUGACAUUUUUAAAAGAAUCUGAAGAAAAACAGAAUGAGCAUGUUUGAGAACUUCUGGAGUCAACAAUACUAGAUGUCGUAGAAAUGAAAUGGACAGUGCUCCAAUUCGCAUGACAUAACGAUGUAGUACCUUUAAGAUUUGUGAAAUAUUAGUUUGGAUGAAUUUGAAAUUAACGGGGACUAGAGCGUUAAAAGAUGAUAGUUAUAAAUGGACAAACUAUCCAUUUUGAUGUGUGCUUUUAGAGAGAAUCUCUUCUAGUGUUUAGGGUUAAAAAAUAUUUGUUUUGGUGCCUGACUCUUUACUGUUGUUUCCAUUUUCUUCUUUUUCAUUUUAUGUUAGUUUGGUAGUUUCUCAAUACAUUAGUCUGUUGAGUAUUGGGCUAGAAUCAUGUAUAAACCAAACUUAAAAAACAUCUUUAUUUAUGCUAUAAUUAUGAACAAAAAAUGUUCUUUAGCUAUCCCAAAAUUUGCAAUAAACAUUUUUCUAAUAACUUUUCUUUAAAAACUAACUGUUGAAAGUUAAAAAACUAAUCCAUUAAAAUAAAUAAAUGUGUCAAGCACAUUUUAAAAAACUAAUCGCUAAAUUAAAUAUAUGUAUCAAGCAUAUUUCUCCUAAUUCUCCAUAUUCUAUCAUAAUUUUGUUCUUCUCAUAUAUUAUAUUUCAAGUUUAAAGUUUUCCCUCCGUCAGAAUUUUACCAACUCAUGGUUAUACUCCAACGAGAUCACAGUGCUCAUGUGUGUUUAAUUUUUUUUUCUUUCUAAUUUCUUUGUUAUUAUAGUUUACCAGUUUAAACUUUUUUGACUUCUUGUUUACCAGUUUAUUGUUAGUUUUAUAACUUUAUUGACUACUGGUUUACCAGUUUUUUUGUUAGUUGUUGGUUUAACUUUAAACUGAUAUAUUUUUAACAAACGUUACACAAGAUGUUUAUUGCAAAUUUUGAGAUAAUUAAAAGCAUGUUUUUUUGUUCACAAUUGUAGCCGUACCAAGCUACAAAACCAACUUCCUUGGCAACUUAUUUACUUUGCUACUACCAUAAGAACCUGUUUUUCUUCUCAAGGGAAGCCACAAUUCUAAUUAUUGUAACAAUCUUGCAGAAUCAGAAGCUUGCUUAACUUUUCUAUAGGCUAAUGGAUUGAUUUGGUUUUAAUAAGUUGAAUCGAUACUAACAGGAAAAUGAUAUAGCAAAAUGUAUUGACAUUUGAAGAAAUUUUAUGGAUAAUAAGGUAACUUGACAAACUUUUUAAUUGAUUUUUAAAAAUAUUUUAGUAGUUAAUAAAAAUAUUUUUUUUUCUUUUUUUAGGGCUGUAUAUACCUUAACAAAUUGAAAAAAAUAGUCUGACAAAAAAUUUCAAAUCAAUUCAAAUUACAUAUAAAUCAAAUUUUAAUGGGCUGAACUCAUGAAUGGGCAGACGAAAUGGGUUAGACAGAUUAAACAAAUUGAUUUUGACACGAAACUAUGCGCUCCAAAAAUAAUUACGUAUUAAGAAAUUUAAUACUGAUAAUUCAUAGUCUUUCCUCAAUUCUAUUUGUUUGGAUUGUGCAAACAUUAAAAAUAUGAAAUUUUUUAUCACAAUAUCUAAUAUUAAUUAAUUUUAGUCAUAAAUUUAAAUAGAAUUUAGACUUGGUAAAUUAAUAUUCAGAUGAGAUGAAAAAUAAUAGUGAAGCCUCAGAUAGUCAAUAACACAUCAAUAAUGUUCAGACGGUAAUUCCAAAUAUUUAUAUAAAAAUCAUCAUUGGCUUCAAAAUAAAUUAUAAAUAUGAAAAGGAAUGUAAUCGCACGAAACGGCUCCGUGAAGGAAUUGAAAAAAAUCCAUACACAGAUUCCUAUCAGAAUGCGAAACGUUAAUUAAAACUUGUUAUUCGUCCAAUCAUAGCAUCUUCGGUCAUCGCAUUUUGCUACCGUCGACGUGGCAUCGGACAGAUAAAGAGUACAAAUUAUUCAAAAAUAGAAGAAACCUCAGAGACCCGUUACAAAUCACACACACAGCGGCGGAGCAGAAGGCCACAGAUCCCGACAAUUGAACGGAGACUGGAAAGAAUCCGAUCAACGGUGGAUGGGAACGAGAGUGGAAACUGCGCCGCCGCUGCAGUUUAAAGUGUCAUACGGCACUUCCUAUUCCUGGGAUGUCUUCCUCAUAGGUGAAAAGAUAGCUACAAAUUAAACAUAGAAAAAAGGCUAACAAUGAAUCAAAUAGUUAUAGUAAACAAUAUAUAAGAAUUUCAUGGAGAGACAGAGGAAGCCGUGGAUGAACGAGGCUAGAGAGGUGAAUAUCACUUUAUAUAGACAAGUCCAGGUGUAUGAAACCCUAAUUCUGAAACACUGGACCCGUUUGGGCCUGGAUUUUUUAUUUUUCUUGGUAGGCAUCAGCUUACCAAGGUUAAAAAUGUCAUUUUAUAAUUUAUUAAUCACGAAUCCGAGCAAUAAAAUUAGCAAUUGCUAGUUGGUGUUUGGUUGUGCAAUUUCAUAUGAAAAUUUGAAAUCGUGAUUUCAAUUUCAAAUCAGAAAAAAAAUCAAGUUUGGAAUGAAUAAAUUCUUGGUAUGAUGUGAAAGAAUUACAUUAAAGAAUAAUUAGUUACUAUUAUUGUUAACUAGUGGAUCUUUUUAAGUUUAUGUAUAUUUGAAAGUUUGUAAAUCGAAAAUUAUUUAUUUAUAAAAGAAACACAGAUAUAUGUGAUUUGUCAAUGUGCACCUUAGGAUAUUUUGGUAUCCUAUUUAUAAAUUAUGGUUCACUCAUUUGGUAAGACUACAUAAGAAUUGGACAAAUUUGAUAAUUUUCACAACAUGUGUGGUUUGCAUGUUUAAGAAAAAAAAAUAUACAACUUAAGAAAUUCAAACUGCAUAUUCAAUUAAAACUUCAAUUUUAUAUCAUUCUGAUUUCAUAUCGCGUGUUCAAAUUGGUCCUUAGUGUAAGUUUAUCUACAUUAUCCGAGAAGAAAACUAGCAUGAAAAGUACUAAUUCAGUAUAAUCCAUGAAUUUUAUUGAUACUUUAUAUAUUUAUUGAGAAAUUUACUAAACUAAUAUUAGAAAAAACCUCAAUUUGUUUUGUAAGUAAUUAUUUUAUUAUAUAAAUAGAAUGAAUAUAUAUAAUCAAAACAUGUUGGUGUAGUAUUAUAGUAAAAAAUAGGGAUAAGGGUCUGAAAAAUACCUCAACUUUGGUCGAAUUUGUUGUUGCGAUACUAAACUUUCAUAAGGACCUAUUACCUCCCUAGAAUAUUUAAUACCGUAUUUUUUACCCCCUGAACUAUUUAAUAGUGUAUUUUAAAGGUAUAUAUAUGCCCACGUGGACACAUUAUUAUUUAUAAUUUUGCAUUAUUUUUUAUGUCCACGUGGGCAAANNNNNNNNNNNNNNNNNNNNNNNNNNNNNNNNNNNNNNNNNNNNNNNNNNNNNNNNNNNNNNNNNNNNNNNNNNNNNNNNNNNNNNNNNNNNNNNNNNNNNNNNNNNNNNNNNNNNNNNNNNNNNNNNNNNNNNNNNNNNNNNNNNNNNNNNNNNNNNNNNNNNNNNNNNNNNNNNNNNNNNNNNNNNNNNNNNNNNNNNNNNNNNNNNNNNNNNNNNNNNNNNNNNNNNNNNNNNNNNNNNNNNNNNNNNNNNNNNNNNNNNNNNNNNNNNNNNNNNNNNNNNNNNNNNNNNNNNNNNNNNNNNNNNNNNNNNNNNNNNNNNNNNNNNNNNNNNNNNNNNNNNNNNNNNNNNNNNNNNNNNNNNNNNNNNNNNNNNNNNNNNNNNNNNNNNNNNNNNNNNNNNNNNNNNNNNNNNNNNNGGGAUAAGCGUCUGAAAAAUACCCCAACUUUGGUCGGAUUUGUUGUUGCGAUACUAAACUUUCAUGAGGACCUAUUACCUCCCUAGACUAUUUAAUACUGUAUUUUUUACCCCCUGAACUAUUUAAUAGUGUAUUUUAAAGGUAUAUAUAUGCCCACGUGGACACAUUACUAUUUAUAAUUUUGCAUUAUUUUUUAUGUCCACGUGGGCAAAUAUAUAUGUUUAAAAUACGGUAUUAAAUAGUCUAGGGAGGUAAUAGGUCCUCAUGAAAGUUUAGUAUCGCAACAACAAAUCCGACCAAAGUUGGGGUAUUUUUCAGACCCUUAUCCCUAAAAAAUAUAUGUAGGUUGAGGUGCGAAUAUUUCACGCUUUUUAAGGAUAUUCAAGCUUAUUACGACAUAAUCUACAUAGAUUCAGCAAUAUAACUUUUGACUUGUCCCUUCUAGGAUACAACAACGUCAUACGACUCAAGCAACUCCGAAUUAGUUGAAGAGUCUAAUGCUCCACUAAAAGAACACCUUCCUUCAACAUAUAAUUAUUAUUUUUUGUAUAGUGAAUUAGUUGAAAGUUUAAAAUAUUUUUCUUUGUCUCAACUCUCUUUCACAACAUUAAACUCAAUAUAAACUUUUCUUCUUUUUUUACAUUAUUUCUCUUAUCUCAACACAAAGUAAGGCUAUCACUAUAUAUAGAUGAGAAAUUCUUUCUUGCAAUGAAUAGGAAGAUAAUGGGGUAGUUAAUAGCGUAAAUAAAUGACCUAAAUAUUACCUAAGUUACAUAAAUAAUGAGUAAAUAAUGAAUUGAAGGUCACAAGGAUGACUGAUGAAAAAUACUCCUUUUGUCCCUAAUUACUUGUGCAUUUUUUCUUUUUUAGUUGUCCCUAAUUACUUGUCCAUUUUGACAAAUCAAGAAAGGACAAACUUUUUUCUCUAUUAUACCCUCAAUUUAUUACUUUGAAAAAUGUAGAACUUUUUGAAAAUCUUAAGUUUUUAAUUCAUCCAUUUCAUAAUUAAUAGGGAUAAAAUUGUAAACUCACUAUAUCAAUUAUUAUUUUCUUAAUAGGUGUGCAACUUCAAAAGUGGACAAGUAAUAAGGGACAGAGGAAGUAAUAAGCUACUAUGAUGCUCUAAAGUCCUCCAACGCGACACAAAAGGAAAUGGAAAAGCUCGGCAGUAAGCAGCACACAUUGGUCCUUCUCUAGCCUGGAGCCUGGAAAAGCAAAGUCCGAUCUACGAUACGCCAUAACCAGCCACCCAGUCCCAAGCCUCGUUUGCUAAGCGGCAAUUCACAAAUAUUAAAAUGUUACUCCAAUAAAAUAGAACCUACGAAAUGGUAUUGCCCUUAUCAACAGUUUCUCAGUUACUUCAGCUACACAUAUGUUGAAUAACGCCAACAUUUUGCUUAUGGUUAUAAGACCUACGAAAGGGUUGGGUGGCCCGAUCAGAUUGAAAUCAUGAUCAAACAUGGAGCUUUUAUUGGCAUAAUGAUAAGCGCUCGAUCCUAAUUACAAAAAUCUUCUUAGGCUACUAAUUCAAUUUUCUUAGUCCUCGAGCUAGAUGAACAAACUUUAGUCCAUGACAAUGAACUUUGUGGACUGAUGAAAAUACAAUUCAAUGAUAUGAACGGUAGAUCAGUUUGAGAGAAGAAGAGAAAAAUGGAAAAUAUUAUUUCAACUAACUGAAGAGUUUACAGUGCACAUUGCUAUAUAUACAAUAUUAACCGACUAACAAAUUGUGGUCCCCACUUUCUAACUAACUACAAUUAAUCAACUACUUUAAUUAAUUAACUAAUUCGUUAACCAAUUCCAAUACUCCCCCUCAAGCUGGAUGUAUUGAACAAGUUCAAGAAUCCAAGCUUGGUAACAAGUGUAUCAUGUUGAAUCCUUCCCAGAGCCUUAGUCAACAAAUCUGCCUGUUGUUCUCUGGUAGGAAUAUAAGUGGUUCUGAUCAGACCCUGUUGAAUUUUUUCUCUAAUAAAGUGACAAUUGAUCUCAAUGUGUUUGGUACGUUCAUAAAAUACAGGGUUAGCAGCGAUUUGAAUGGCAGCCUUACUAUCGCAAAAGACAGUUGUUGGCCCAUGUAACUUGACUCCCAACUCGUGAAAUAAAUUGGCUAUCCAAACGAUCUCUGCAGUUAAGGUUGCCAGGUUUUUGUAUUCUGCCUCAGCAGAACUCCUAGAUACUGUGCUUUGUUUUUUCGACUUCCAUGAAAUCAAAGAAUCACCAAACUUCAAUAAGAAACCAGUUACAGAUUUUCUAGAGUUUUGACAAGCAGCCCAGUCUGUAUCACAAAAACCUGUAAGGUGAGAUUUGUAAACUGAACUCAAUAACAACCCCUUUCCUGGAUCACUCUUGAUGUACCUUACUACCCUCAAUGCUGCCACCCAAUGUGACAUCUUGGGUCUUUGCAUGAAUUGACUCAGGGAUUGUACAGCAAAAGCAAUAUCUGGUCGUGUGUUGGUGAGGUACAAUAGUUUCCCAACAAGUCGUUGAUACUUGUUCACAUCCAUAAACAACUCAUCAAUGAUAGUAGUACCUUGAUCAAAUUCAACACUCGUUAAUUUCAUAUUGCAUUCAAGUGGUGUGAGGACAGGCUUUGCAGCAGCUAGUCCUGCUUCAGAAAUCAGCUCCAAGGCAUACUUUCUUUGGUUCAUCACUAUCCCCUUGCUAGACCUGAUGAAUUCAAUGCCCAAAAAUUACUUAAGUUCUCCCAAGUCCUUGAUUUUGAAGUGACUAUGCAGCACAUUCUUAGUCUCUUCUAUCAAAACUGCAUCAUUACCUGUGAUCAAUAAGUCAUCCACAUAUACAAAGAUGAUGACUAGCCCAGGACCUCUUCUCUUGGUAAAUAGUGAGUAUUCUAAGUGACUCUGAGUAUAACCAGAUGUACAUAAAGCAUUUGUCAACUUUGCAUUCCAUUGUCUAGAAGCUUGUUUAAGUCCAUAUAGAGAUUUAACCAACUUACAAACAAGAUUAUUUCCUUGUACAUUAAACCCCUUGGGCAACUCUAUAUACACUUCUUCAAACAAAUCACCUUGCAAGAAGGCAUUAAAAACAUCCAUUUGAUAUAUAACCCAUUGCUUAGCAGCAGCCAAUGAGAUUGUGGACCUGACUGUAACCAUUUUCACCACUGGUGAGAAUGUCUCUUGAUAGUCAAUUCCCUCAGUUUGAUUGUAACCCUUAGCAACCAAUCUUGCCUUGAACCUGUCCACCUUUCCAUCAGCUUGAUACUUGAUUUUAAAAACCCAUUUGCACCUUAUAACAGGCUUACCUCCUGGUAAUUGGACCAGUUUCCAAGUUCCAUUAUCUUCUAAUGCCUUGAUCUCUAGUCUCAUAACUUCGACCCAUCUGUUAUCCUGGACUGCCUCUUCAUAGUUCCUAGGCUCCACAUCAGUGGAAAAUUUUGAUAGAUAAGCUGCAUAGCUUGAAGUAAUAUCCUGAUAGGAUAUAUAAUUGCUAAGUGAAUAAGGCUGACAAGAAUCUGAUACUUGUGUUACAUAAUCUUUCAUCCAUAUAGGUGGAUGAGGUGUUCUGAUGGACUGUCUAGGCUGUACAGCAUCAACAGGAAAAUCAGCAUUCUCAGCAGGCAAAUCAAUAUUAUCUACUAUAGCAUUUGGUAUAUUGGCAUCAACAAGAUCAUUCUGAGCAUCAUGAUGUAAAUCUAUAUCAUGCAUGGGAAUGUCAGGGAAUGUUUCCUCCUGUAAUAAUGAACUUGUCAGAUCUUCCAGGUCAACUUUUUGAGACACCAAAUCAUCAGUUAAUGAAGUGUCGAGAAAUAAGGAGAAAUUUCUAGUGACCAUUUUUUGAAAAGGAAAGAUGGUUUCUCUGAAUUUAACAUCUCUGCUAACCAAUAAUUUUCUUUGUUGUAAACUGUACAAAAUAUAUCCUUUUUGAGUAGAUGAGUACCCCAUGAACACACAUGCUUCUGCUCUGGGGGAUAGUUUAUCAGUUUUGGGCAACCUUGUAGCAUAACAUAGGUAUCCAAAUGUCCUUAAGUGAUCAAGUUUAGCCUUUACUUUGUAAAAAACCUCAUAUGGAGUCAAACCUUGUAAUACAGUUGUUGGCAACCUAUUUAUCAAGUAUACAGCUGCUAGUACACACUCCCCCCAAAAUCUUAGAGCAAUAUUGCCUUGAAAUCUAAGAGCCCUGGACACCUCAAAUAUAUGUCGAUGUUUUCUUUCCGCAAUCCCAUUUUGUUGUGGGGUAUAUGGACAACUACUCUCAUGAAUUAUGCCUUGUGUUCUCAACAACGCAUCACAAUCUUUGUUAAAAAAUUCAGUUCCAUUAUCAGAUCUCACCUUCUUAAUCUGUAUCUGAAACUGAGUUUUGACAAGAACAAUAAAAGACUGCAAGGUCUGAAAUACAUCACUUUUCUGUUUAAGAAAAUAUACCCAUGUGAGCCUAGAAUGAUCAUCAACAAUUGUCAAGAAAAAUCUAUAUCCAUUAUGAGUCAUCACUUUAUAGGGUCCCCACACAUCCAAAUGGAUCAAAUCAAAUGCACUAUUACAUCUAGAUAGACUCAAACAAAAAGGAAUUCUAGUUUGUUUAGCUAGUGGACAUAUAGGACAUGCACUACAAACUGUAUCCAUAUCACCAGAUGACAAAGACAAUUGUCUCAACACUUUAGUGGAAGGAUGACCUAGUCUGUUGUGCCACAACAACUUAUUGGUCAUUGCAUCAUCUUGUGCCAUCAACAUUCUUGCACUCCCUUUACCAUUUGCAUAUGCUGGUUGGCUAGGAAGAUAGUACAAUCCAUUCAACUCCUUACUAAUCCCCUUCACCCUCCCAUCAGAGAGAUCCUGGAAAAUAACAAACUUAGGGAAGAAAUUAACUGAGCAUUUCAAUUGCCUUGUUAUUUGUGAUAUUGAUAGUAAGUCAAAUUUGAAUGCAGGAACAACUAAGACAUUCUCUAAUGAAUCACCACCAGGCAUACUAGAGUCUCCAAUGUGUGUUACUGAAGUCGCUUCUCCAUUUGGCAAAUGUACUUUUCUUCCAAUACACUUUUUACUGGAAUUUAAUCUCUCUAAUUUAGAGGUCAUAUGACAUGUAGCCCCUGAAUCUAUUAUCCAACUUCCUAUUUUAUCAUUCACAGAGAAAGCUGAAUUACUAGGACUAGUCAUACCUGUCAUAGCCAUAUUUGCCAUAGGUUCUUCCAGUGUUUCUGCUCCUUCCCUGUCUAGCAUGUGCAGGAGUCUUUGGUACUGUCCCUGAGUAAAUGUUGGAUGAGCUGCCAAGGUCGAUGACUCCCCUUUGUUGUAUACUGGUGCAAAUGCAUCCAUUGAUGGUGUUGGAUCAUGUCUUACUUGAUUUGCCAUGCUUUGUUGUUGCUUAUCAUUAGUGUGUGUUCCUUGCAUCUAACAGGACCCGCCUUGAUCAACUCCUGGCCCAAACCUUUUCUUAAACUUCCAAUCUGGUGGAUAACCAUUCAAUCUAUAGCAAUUAAGCUUAACAUGACCCUGCACUUUACAGUAAUCACAGAUCUGAUCCCAAUCUUUUUUUUUUCUGUUGAUAAUUUCUUGGGUUUCUCUGAGGAUGUCCUUUGCCUGCAUACAGAGCAACUGGAUCCAGUGUUUCUUUUCCUGUAUGAGUCCUUGUUGUUGUCCGCUGGCUUUCAUCUGCCAUUAUCAUGGCAUAAGCUUUGCUCACACUAGGCAAGGGAUUCAUCAUCAGGAUUUGACUCCUGGCUUGGCUAUAUACCUCGUUUAGUCUCAUCAGAAAAGCAAACAAUCUCAAAUAGGCUAUGUGAUCCACAUAUGUUCUCGACUUCUCACAACUACAUGAUGGUGGUGGAACGAAAGCAUCGAAUUCAUCCCAUAACAAUCGCAAUCUCGUAAAGUAACUAGAUAUAGUCAAAUUACCUUGAUAUAUUGUGCAAAUUUCUCUAUGAAGCUGAUAGAUCCUUGAUCCAUCGAUCUUAUCAAAUCUAUCCUUAAGAUCUUUCCAUACUGUGGCUGCAUCAUCUGCAUACACUAUACCACUAAGUAACUUCUUGGAUACCGUGUUCAUGAUCCAAGCAAGCACAGAACAAUUGCAUUUUUCCCACUGUUCUUCUAGAUCCAACUUGUAAUCACUCAUCUUGCAUGUUCCAAGCACGAAUCCCAGCUUACUCUUCGCACGUAGGUCAAUCAAUAUGGAUCUGCUCUAUAAUGAAUAGUUCUCCGUCCCUGUAAGCUGUACCGUAGUGAGCACACAUCCUGGAGUAUCAGAUGGAUGAAGGUAUAGUGGAUGAUUUCGCUUCUUCUCGAUUUCAUCUAAUGUCUUUGCCCUAAUUACAGUAAUGGUGAAUAGUGAAGAAUCAGGGGAAACUGUAAUUAGGGCAGAGACAUUAGAUGAAAUCGAGAAGAAGCGAAAUCAUCCACUAUACCUUCAUCCAUCUGAUACUCCAGGAUGUGUGCUCACUACGGUACAACUUACUCUUCGCACGAAGGUUAAUCAAUAUGGAUCUGCUCCAUAAUGAAUAGUUCUCCGUCCCUGUAAGUUGUACCGUAGUGAGCACACAUCCUCCUGGAGUAUCAAAUGGAUGAAGGUAUAGUGGAUGAUUUCGCUUCUUCUCGAUCUCAUCUAAUGUCUCUGCCCUAAUUACAGUUUCCCCUGAUUCUUCACUAUUCACCAUUUCAGUUGCUUCUAGAGAACUUCUUCAAUGGCUGAAUAAUAGGAUCAAUCUUCACGCAGUUGAAUCGAACUCGAUUCUCAGCUUUGAUACCAUGAUGAAAAUACAAUUCAAUGAUAUGAACGAUAGAUCAGUUUGAGAGAAGAAGAGAAAAAUGGAAAAUAUUAUUUCAACUAACUGAAGAGUUUACAGUGCACAUUGCUAUAUAUACAAUAUUAACCGACUAACAAAUUGUGGUCCCCACUUUCUAACUAACUACAAUUAAUCAACUACUUCAAUUAAUUAACUAAUUCGUUAACCAAUUCCAAUAUGGACUAGCAAUCUGUUCAACUCCUUUAUAAUCCCCAUUUUCUAUGAAAGAUUCUGUAGUUUCUUUUUUGCCAAAUCAAAUACUCAUUUUUAGUUAACUCCAUUUUGUACAGCUAAGCUUUAACAAACACUUCUAACUAAGUUCUACAUUUCGAAAAAAAAAAAAAAAACUAAGUUCUACACUAAACGUUUAUCAUCAUGUCAAAAAUUAUAGCUAAUCAUAAUAAAGGUGCAACUUUAUUUUUUAUAACUAAGUUCACCAAGCAAGAGUCAUAUUUGAUUAUGACUCUGACUCGGCCACUUAGCCACUUGCCAUAGGCAGGAUGUUUAGCCUGGUUGGUAUAUAGUAAGAAUUAAUGGGAAAUGGAGGAAAGAUGAAAAGAGGAAUUCGAAAGGUUCUCUUAUGCUUUAGUAAAAUGCAUUUCUCCUUCAUUGGUGAUGGAAAGAAAAGUUAAAGUGUUUAAAUAGUGAAACACUUCUACUAGUUGUUAAAAGGGUUGGAAAGAGGGACCCCUCGUGCCGUCGUCGUCGCUCGACACGGCUUUGGCUUUGGAAAAUGAUCGAUCGAGAGAUUCGACCCGACCAAACUCGGAGCCGCGUGACCCGUAUUUUAAAACAUCUUUCUCAUUUUAUUUAAAUCUCCCACCAUUGGAGAUGACUGUUCUUAAAGGUUGUAACUUUCAGGAACAACCAUGACCAUUCUGAAGGGUUGCAAACUUUCACGACUGGUUGUUGUGUUUCUGAAAUGUUGCAACCUUUCGGAACCAGUGCUUCGUGGCUAUAAAUACCAGUGAAUCCUCAGACUUUUCACUUACGAAAUUUCUGAACUUCUUCUUCAUCUGCACAUAUUCAUUAUUCGUGUACUUUACUGCCGUUGAGUGGCUCGCUGACACCAUUGUUUUGGAUUUCAAUACACUGAUAAAUAGAAUCGUUCUAUCCUAGAGGAUAUAUUCCAAUUAAACCUCAGUUACUAUAGGGUAAUAAUUUGCUUAAGGAAACACUGUGCAUUCAGUGGGCUUAAUUUUCUUUCAUACGAAUGUUACAGAUUCUGGUAUAUUUUACAGUCAUUAAUUUUUGUUAAUUGAUUUCUGGUUUUCACUACUUGAUUUAAAUUUUGGAAUUUACUAUUUCUGGAAAGUUUUUGUUAUCACUAGUAUUGAUUUAAAAUACAGAUGGCAUAACAUAGCUUUAUGGACGUCUAUUAAUUCCUCUUCAGUUUAGCCUAAUGGGCGUCUAUUAAUCCCUGUGACUCCCCAUUUUGUCAAUUUGUCUCCUCUAUAAAUCCUUCCAUUAGUUACUAGAGUGAGGCUGAAUAGGCAUUAGAAAUUGCAGUAAAUUGAACCAAAGAAUUAUUCGGAAAAUAAAAUAGGCGUUAGAAGUUAGAAGUGGCAGCGCAUUGAACAAAAAAUUCGUUAUUUGACAAAAUCAUGUUGUGAUGCAAGAAAUAACACACCACAAUUCAGUUGAAAAAUUCUUCUUCUUUUUUUUAGGAAAAUCCAUUUUAAAUGCUUCACCAGUUACUAUUAUAAUUUCUGAAAAAUUUGACUUAUAUUUACGAUUCUUGAAAGGUGUGUGGUAUAGAAUCAGAAACCGUUGUUCAUGUAUUUUGUAGAUGUCCAAAAGCUCGGUUAGUAUGUAAAUUAUGUCCUAUCAAGAAGUAUCUACUGGUCCAAUUUAGACAAUAUUAUUGAUUUCUUGAGUUGGUGGCAUGCUGUGUUUUGCAAUACUAUCAGUACCUGAUUCCAUAAGAAAUAGUUGAUUUUGUUGCAAUCCAUAUUCAAUUUUGACAUGACAUAUACACUAAGGAUGGAAAUAUUACUAUGGCAUUAGAGCGUUACUGAAUGACUGGUCAAAAAUUCAUAGAGUAUCAAAUGCACAAAAUGUUAUACAAUGGCUACAACAUAAAGAUUGGUCAUUGAUAGACUUCUUUUUGUGCAAUCAAUUUUGUACACAUAAUAUAACUAAUCUUCUCAUUUCCUUGUAAAGUAUCAUUGUAAAUUGUCCUAAAUUCAAUUUGUCCAACAUUUUGAUCACCUGAAAAAUUUAUUCAUUAAACAUAAAUAAAAAAAAUAAAGCAGAGUUUUAAUAGUGAAGCCUCAGAUAGUCAAUCACACAUCAAUAAUGUUCAGACGGUAAUUCCAAAUAUUUAUUUAAAAAUCAUCACUGGCUUCAAAAAUAUUUGUUUUCAAAAGAAAUAAAUUUGAAAAGGGAUGUAAUCGCACGAAACGGCUCCGUGAAGGAAUUGAAAAAAUCCAUACACAGAUUCCUAUCAGAAUGCGAAGCGUUAAUUAAAACUUGUUAUUGGUCCAAUCAUAGCAUCGUCGGUCAUCGCAUUUUGCUACCGUCGACGUGGCAUCGGACCGAUAAAACUAUAAUAAAUAAUAUAAAAUUGGAUGAAACCUCAGAGACCCGUUACAAAUCACACACACAACGGCGGAGCAGAAUGCCACAGAUCCCGACCAUUGAACGGAGACUGGAUAGAAUCCGAUCAACGGUGGAUGGGAACGAGAGUGGAAACUGCGCCGCCGCUGCUGUUUAAAGUGUCAUACGGCACUUCCUAUUCCUGGGAUGUCUUCCUCAUCGAUGCAAAUUAGCUACAAAUUCAAAAAUCAAACAUGAAAAACCCUAACAAGGUACUAUUAAACACUAUGUAAAAUUUUCAAGGAGGCACAGAAGAAGGCGGGGAUGAAUGAGAGCAGAGAGGUGAAUAUCAGUUUAAAUAGACUAGGCCAGAUGUGUGAGACCCUAAUUCUGAUACUCUGGACCCGAUUGGGCCUCGAAUCUUUUUUAUUUUUCUUGGUGGGGGCAUCAGCUUAACAAGGGUAAAAAUGUCAUUUUAAAAUGAGAAACUUUCAAAAAUAACAAAUAUUAGGUCUUAAAUAGGAUUCCUAGCUACAGUUUCACUAAUUACAAUUCGUAGUUAUAUUUUGGUUUGCUCCGCAUUUGUAUUAGUUGUACUUUUUUGUGAAAAUACACAUAUAAAUUGAUUUGUAUCAAAAUGAAUACAUAUGAGGAGGAAAGAGGGAAGCGAGAUCGGGAGAGGGAGGAGAGAGACGAGUGAGAAUGAGAGAGGAUUGUAUUUUAUAUUUAUUUUGCGUUGUAUUUUGUAUUUAUUUAAUGCAUAACUGUUUUUUAUUUUGUAUCAAUUGUAAUCCUCUCUUCUCCCUCUUUCGAUAUCGAAUACAAAGAUUGCAAGUAUACAAUAAGGAUAGAUACAAAAAUCUCUCCUCCCUCACUAAACCUCAAAUACUAAGGAUUGAGAGUAUACGAUAUGGAUAGAUACAAAAAUCUCUCCUCCCUCACUAAACCUCAAAUACAAAGGAUUGAGAGUAUACGAUAUGGAUAGAUACAAAAAUCUCUCCUCCCUCACUAAACCUCAAAUACUAAGGAUUGAGAGUAUACGAUAUGGAUAGAUACAAAAAUACAGAACAAAUUUAAAGAAUACCGAGAUUACCCCAAUGAAUACAUACACAGGUUGAUACCUAAUUCAAUAAAAUUUUGAUUUUGAAUAAUAAAAAUCUAAUUGUGAUAUUGAAAAGAAAUUAAAAGAGAAGCGGGAAAACAGAGAGAGGGGGAUUGAGGAGAGUGAAAUUUGACUUUAUUUAGGAGUUGGAUUAUAAACAUGGUAUCUACUAUAAGAAUAAUCAACAUGUAGUGUUUUAUUGUAAUUUUUUAAAUAUAGUUGUUUUCAUUAAAUACAUAGCUAAUAUUUGACUUGAGCAAUUUUUCCUUUUAUAAUUUAUUUAUCAAGAAUUUGAGCCAUGACAUUAACAAUUGAUAGUGUUUGCUUGUGAUUGGAUGUGGAAUUUCAUAUAAUGAUUUCAAUUUCAAAUACUUAAAGGGUAAACUACCUUCAUUAUAGCCCAAGAGCCUUAGAAUCUCUUGAUUAACAUUUAGUUUUACCCCUGAAAAGUAAACAGAGCUCUUGUCACAAUUUGUCUACAAACCAAAAGCAUUUGAGAACUUAGUAAAGGCCUGUGGAACAACUGUAUUAAUUUUACCUCAGCUUUACAAAAUAUCAAUAAAUAAUCCGCAAAGCGUAUGUGAGAGAUGUUAAGUCUUUUACAUCUCAGAUGAAAGUGAAAACUUUUAUCUCUUGUUGUCAGUGGCGGACCCAGGAUUUUCGUUCAGGGGUUAAAAGUAUAAACGUGUAAAUAUAAGCCAAUAAAACAAAAUUUCAAGAAAGUAGUAGUAUUUAGUUUUAGUAGCGGACCCUUGAAUUUUUUUGGGUUUAAAACCACACUUUUAGCAUGUUUUAUAAAAUAAAAAACUAAAAAAAACGUGAAAACGGAACUGAAACCUUAAAAAAAACUGAAACUGAAAAAUAAAAAAAUAAAAAGCUAAUGCAGGGAUUCGAUCCCUCAACAUGAGACUUAAUUUUCAGGGAAAAUACCACUAGGCUAUCUCUUUCUCCUUGUCAUUGAGAGGGUUCAAAAUAUAUAUAUCCAAAAUAAAUACAGAAAAUUACCUUAUAUAUACAGUGUAAUUUUUGCCGAGAGGGUUCGGGUGAACCCCCUGGAACCAACGUGGGUCCGCCCCUGCUUGUUGCCACUACUAACUCUCAAUGUAAAUACUCCAUGGCCAAGUCUGAAAGGUAGGAGGGUGACAUAGGAUCCCCUGCGUGAUGCCUUUUUUUCCUUGGAAAGGUUUAGUAAGACUGAAAUUCAUCACCAAGAGUAAGAGACUGUUGAAAGUUAUAUGUAUGUACAUAUAAUUAGUGGAUCUUUAAUUUAUAAGUUAUAUGUAUAUUUGAAAGUUUAUAAUUGAAAAUAUUUAUUAAUAAGAAAUUUGGAGAUGUGUGUUUUGUCAAUGCAGUCCAUUUGAGAUAUUAUGAUAUCUUGUUUAUGAACUAUGGUUUAAUCAUUUGGAAAGAUUGUAUAAGAAUUGGACAAGUAUGAUGGAGUACUUUUUACAACCUACAUGGUUUGCGUAUUUAUGAAAAAAUAUACCAGUUGAGAAAUUCAAAUUGUAUAUUCAACCAAAAUUUUAAUUUUAUAUCAAUUUGUUUCAUAUCAUGAUUUCAUAUCGCAUGGUCAAACAGUUCCUCAGUGUAAGUUAUCUACAUUAUCCGAAAGUGAAACUAGCAUGCAAAGUACCAAUUUGGUAUAAUCCAUGAAGUUUGAUUAAUACAGUAAAAUCUCUCAAAACUAAUCUUGUUGAAACCACGAAAUAUUAUUAAUUUGUAGAGGUAUUGUUUAGUCAAUAAUUAGUGUAUUCGAAAUUCAAUAAAGGUUAAUUUUGAUUACAUCGUUUAGGGGAUGAAGCUUCAAGGUAUUUAAAUGAAAUUUCUUAUGAAAACGACAUUCAUGAAUUUGAGGUCAUGAUUAAUAAUCUCGAUUAUUGCAAUAAAAUAAAUGUCAAUAGCCUAUUAAUUACUCGAGUGAAAAUGAUACAUGUUAAAAAGUCUAGAAUUUUGAGGAAAUUAUAAAAAUCUUCAUAGAAAGCAAUGUUGAUGAUGAAGUUGAAGAUGACAAUACCUUUGGGACCAGUUUCACAUAAGAGACACUUAUCACAUAUAAAAAAUUUCGCAAUUUUUUUAUGUAGUUCGAGAUGACAACACUGGAACGUUGAUUUUUUUCACAAACUCAAAUCUGAAAAAAGAAAAAUAUUAUCUUAGAGAGUUUAUUAAUUUACCAAAUAUUAUUUUAGAGAGGUUAUAUUGUAGGGAAAAUUGUAUGAAAUAGCAAACUAUUAAUUUAAAAUAAAUGCUAUAACCACAAUUUCAUUUAAUUCUAACUCGUAGCAAAUACUUUGUCAUUCGCCUCUCUCCCCAAAAAUCUUGCUCGCCACUCUCCAGAAAUCUCGCUCACCGCUCUCCCUCGCCUCUCUCACUUUAUACGAACACAAAUGUAUAAAUUGCGUUUGUGUUUGUAUAAAGCGAGAGAAAACUAUAUAUACAAAUACAAGUAUAUGUAUAUUCGUCAUAUACACUUAUAAUUAUACAAAUACAGAUUCUUCUCCACCAGUUCUCUUUUGCCUUUCUCUAUUUAUAUAAACACAAAUUAUACAAAUUACAAUGUAUAAUUUGUGUUGUAUAAAGCGAGAGAGAGAUUUGAUAGACAAAUAUUUUAUUUCGAUUCAAUUGUAUACAAAUUCAAAUUUUAUGCAGAUAUGCAAACACAAACAUUGAUACAUAUACAUAAUAGUUACAUAUAUACAAUUAUCUAACCAAUAUACAUAUACAAUCGCUGCACUUUUAUACAAAUGAGAUGCAUGCCUGCGAUUUAUACAGAUCUGAUGCUACAUAAUUUGCUAUGAAGCGCAAAUAGCAAAACUAUAGUCAUAGAGCACUAAUAUGAUUUUUGUGUUUGAUAAACCUAAAAUUUACUCAUAAUUUUAUCACUAUUAGUUUUUGAAAUACAAUUUUAUAACUAUUCCUUCUGUAAAAACUUAUUCGGAUCCUUUUAGGUAUCAUCUAAAACCUAUUUCAAACACUUAGAAUUAUGUGCCGAUAGAACAUGAUUUCAUAAGAGUUCAAUAACCUAAAUUAUUUUUUACAAACAUGAUAAAAAAUUGCUUAUAAUUGUAUAAAUUCUUUUUAAUUCAAGAGCCAUUUAGUCAUUCCAGUUAUUCAUUUAUCUAAUUUUUUAAAACUUUUUUUUCAAAUCUAUGUUUCAUUAUAAUUUUUUAAAAUUUUAGCUUGAAGUUUAAUCUCAAAUUUGGAAAAGUGUUCCAAAUCUGCUUUUCAAUUCUAUCUUCAUAAAUUUCAAAUAAAUUGCUCGAUUCUCCUUUGCAAAGGGUAUAACCAAAAAUAAUUCUAUUCUCAGCUGUAACUUAGUAAAAUCUCCUUAAAAAAUAAAAAUUAUUUAAAAUAUAUGAUGAUCAAACACCUACUAAAAUUUCUCAUAAAUGUAUUAAAAAGGGUUAAUUUUAGGUUUAGCAAACAUAAAAAUCAUAUUUAUAUAUUAUAGCUAUAGUUUGUAUAAUUGCGCUCCAUAGCAAACUUUAUGUUUGUUAUGACUAUUAAUUUGUAUAUUUUGGUAUACAUAUACAUAAAAAAUAUGUAUUUGGGUCUAUUUGUAUAUUUCGGUAUACAAAUGGGUCGUGCAUUUGUAUAUUUCGGUAUACAAAUGAGUCUUGCAUUUGUAUAUUUCAGUCUAUUUGUAUAUUUCGGUAUGCAAACGGGUCCUGCAUUUGUAUAUUUUAGUAUACAAAUGGAUCCUGCAUUUAGUCUAUUUGUAUAUUUCGGUAUACAAAUGUGAUGGCAAAAAACAUGGAAUGUUUGCUGCGAAUUACAAAUAAAAGAAACUAUGUCUAUAAUAUUUAAUUUGAAUUAAUAGUUUGUUAUUUUAUACAAUUUUUCCUAAAAUUAUUUAGUAAUUUUCCGAGUAGUGUUUAAUUUAUUUGAUCAAAAAAGAAAUACAAGAAGUAUAAUAUAAAAUAUGUCCAAUUCAACUUUUCUAUAAUGUCGAUACUUGUCUGAGUGUUUUUUGAAUCCUAUAGCGAAUAUUUAAUAUCAAGAAAAUUACUUGAUGUUACUCACUUAGUAUUCUUUAUAGUGAUAUAUUUUUUUUAAAUGCAAUUUUUACUCUCUUAGUAUUCUUUAUAGUGAUAUUUAAAAAAAUACAAAACAUGAUAACAUGAUAUAUUUUUUAUAUAUCUUAAAACUUUAUAAAUGACCACUCUUUCGAUAGAGACAAUAUCUUCAAGGGAUUUUCCUUUUUCAUGGGCGAAGUGAACACGAGCAAAAGAAUACAAUCUAAAAACAAAUACUCAACAUUCAUACAACAUAUAAUUUUAGAUGUUUAUUCCCUCAUUCAUUCAUCAUACACUUUAUGUAUCUUUCAUAUAUAGUUAGCAUGUACAUAACAUUUAAAAACACAUACAAUUGAUGAAUAUGUAUUCACAGACAAAAUAAAUAAAUACACAUACAAAGUAAAAAUAAGAUAUUACAUUCAUGGGGUUUUAGUUAUCAUUAUUGUCAAUUAACUUUAGGGAAAUUUGUGCAUUAUAACAAACUGUUAAUUAAAAAUAAAUGUUAUAGCUACAGUUUCAUUUCAAAUUCGUAACAAUCACAUUGUCAUUUGUCUCUCUCCCUUGAAUCUUGUUCGUCACUCUCAGUUCUCUCCCUCGCCUCUCUCACUUUAUACAAACAAAAAUGUAUAAAUUGUGUUUUUAUUUGUAUAAAACGAGAGAGACUGUAUAUAUAUAUACAAAUACAUAUCUCCCCGUCCUAUAUACUUAUAAUUAUACUAAUACAAAUUUUUCAAUGUCCAAUUCUCUUUUGCCUUUCUCUCUCUCUCUCUCUCACUUUAUACAAACACAAAUUAUACAAGGGAGAAGGGUCUAAAAUACCCUUAUAGUAUCAGAAUUGGUACAAAAAUACCCCUCGUUUACCUUUUGGCCUCAAAAUACCCUUGGGGUUAACCUUUAGGGACCUAUUUUGCCCUUUUGACUAACAGACUACUUAGUAAAUAUAUUUAAUUAUUUCAUUUAUUACGUGACAUGUUGUAAUUGGUUGGGAAAAUUUUAAUUAAUUAAAGCCUAAUUUGUUUGACCCAAACCACCCUAUCCACCCGGAUCCACCCGACCCAUCUUCAAAAUACCCAACGUAUCCAAAUAAAACACCCAUUACCCAUUCCUUUAUACAAAACCCUAAACAUUUCCCCCCAACUUCAUCAGUUAGUUCUUAAAGCUCUUUUGGAAAUCAUUUUCUUCAUUAGAUUUGUUAAAUUUUGUGUUGUUUCAAUGUUGACAUCUUCUUCUGUUUCUUCUCCUCAACAAGUUGAGUCUCAUACAUGUAAAUGUAAAUUGAUAGCAAAAUAUUUUACUGCUAUGACCCGUGAGAAUGGUGGACGUCGACUUUUCAAAUGUUGUCGUCCUGGCUCAUUCUCUUAUGGUUAUUGGAUUGGAUCGAUAGUAUACUUCCAAGUCAUGCGUUAUUGAUGACUCACAAUCAAAAGAUUCAAUUCGGAAGGAAAGAAACCGAUUGAAGAAGAUCCUAAAGGAAAUAAGUGGCAUUGAAAUUCAUUAACCAAACAUUGGUUCUAACUUGAAUGAUAUGACUUUUUUUGAAAAUUCAAAUUUGGAGGAUAAAGUUUUAAACUUGGAAUUGGAACAUCAUAUUGAAUGUUCUAAUUUGAAGAACUUGGAUGAUAAUAAACUGAAGUGGGAAUUGAAAGGGUUUCAAUUGAUAAGCUUGCUUAUGAUCUUUUGGGAUAUUAUUGUUGGUUUUGUAGCUGCCAAGUUGAUGUAGUGUAUUGUAGUUGUCUUUGUAACUUCUUUUCUUGGUAUCGUUGUAAUGUGUAGUCAUGAGUAGUUGGUGUAGCUCUAUUCUAGUAGUGUGUAGUCGUUAGUAGUUUGGUGUAGCUCUGUUCUAGUAAUGCGGUGUAGUCGUUCGUAUUUUGAUGUAAUGUUAGCAAUCUGCAGGUUACAACUGAUGUAAUGUCAUCGUGUUUUGCUUGUUGAAAGUUGUUAGCAAUCUUGUUGAUCUCUUGAUUGUAAUGGAAAAGUUAGCAAUCUGCAUUUUUUACCAUUUUACAAAAUUUGCAUUUUUACCAUUUAGCAAUCUGCAUUUUUACAGCAAUCUGCAAAUUUUUACAGCAUCUUUACAACAAUCUGCAAAUUUUUACAGCAUCUAAAUUAUGGAUUGCUUUUCAAUUUUACACAAAUGCAGGUUAAUAGUGUAAUAUGCUCUCAGCCGUUUCGUCCUCUGUACAACUUAAUAGACAUCCAAAAUUAAAGAAACACUCCCAAUUGAUCUGAAGUCGUAGCUUCUUUUCCUUUCUUUGCCUUCAAUUUGCCAAUUCUUUUCUCCUUUUCAACUGUCAACUGAUCUGAAGUCGUAGCUUCUUUUCCUUUCUUUGCCUUCAAUUUGCCAAUUCUUGUCUCCUUUUCAACUGUCAACUGAUUUGAAGCCAUAACUUCUUUUCCUUUCCAUGCCAAUUUUCUUGGUGAGUAUGGCAGAUUAGUUGGAAUGCUCACACCAUUGUCAUCUCCUUUGAAGCCAAUCCUCCUGGUACCAGUUGGUCGAAUCUGUAUCUUUUUAGCUUGAAGCCUAGUCCUAGCUUUAGAAAUUGCCUUCGGCCUUAGAAUUGUCUGCUCGUCUUCACUUUCAUGCUCACAUCCAUCAUCAUCAGCAACUGCACUUGAAGGUGCAACAUGUUGCUCAUCCUCAGAUUCAUCAACAACUAUUUUUCUCUUUGACUUUGAAGGUCCAGUAGGUUUCUUUUCAAUUUUCUUUGAAUUUGAAGGACUAGCAGGUUGGCUACUCUGUUGACUUGAAGAAGCAAUAAAGCCAGGAGUAGGCAUAAAGACACUACCAGAUUCUUCUUGACUGGCUUGGGGUGCUGACACUGGCACAUCUUGGGCUGAUUGUUUUAAUCUUUGAAGCUAUAAAAAUGACAAAAUUAGUUAGAUAUUGAAUUAACUAGUGUAAAUAUUGACCAAGUAAAGAAAAUUACAUACCAUAGGACAUUUUCUUUGGUUGUGACCUGUUGCACUACAAUGUCCACAUGUCAUUUUUAGUCCUUUUCUUGAAGCUGACCACACCCCUUCCCUUUUCCUUGCCUCAUCCUUUUCUCUCUUUCUCUUAAGUUUUGGCCUGCCUACCAAUUUAUGUAUUUCUGGUGGCUCCAUAGCAUGAGAAGAAUCAACUUUCCAGAACUUCUCACCUCUAACAGGUUUGUAUUUUUAUGCAUGUAUACUAACAUGUAAGCUUCUCUGGAAUACCACCAACUCAACUGAUCCAGUGGUUCUUGUUUGUCAUGAAGAUAUGUUUUAAUGGCAUGAGGACAUGGUAUACCAAUCAAGUCCCAUGUCCUACAUGUACACUUCUUCCUAUUAAGAUUCACCACAUGCCUAUAUUCACCCUCAACUACCUCAUAUCCUUGGUCUCCAUUAGAUUGAACUUGACAACAUUGUGCAAUGAUAUUGAAAUCAUUAUACAACUCCAUGGCAUAUGGACUAAAAUCUCCUUUCCAAUUUUUACCCUCAUCUUCAAGUUUUUGCAACCUAUUCAUAAUCUAUGUAACAAUACAACAGUAAGAUCAACAUAACCUAUCAAUAUAACAGUCACAUCAAACUAUAUUCUGCUAUUUCUAUUAAAACACUAGAUCUAUCAAUGAAAAUAAAUUUACAGAGAAUUGAACACUGCUCUUUAAGGCCUUAAUCUUAAAUGUAAAAUUCAGUUCCUAAUAAAUUCGUUUUGUAAAUACCCAAGAGAUUCAAAUAAAGAGAAACAAGGCCAUAGUUCACAACAAAAAGCAGCAGAAUUUGAAAAGAAAAAGAAAAUUAGCAACUUUGUGAGCUGAAAACUCAAAAUCACCAAACUGUAAACAAACCCAAAGUCUAAUUUUCAGUAUUAUCCCACAUUAAUCUAACCUACAUAGAACCUAACAGUUAGAUUAAGGUAAUAUAAAAAGAUGAUAAAUAUAAAUAAGUAACAACUCACCUUGAUUCUAAUAUUUCUAACAUCUUGAUUAUAGGUUUUUCCCUUGCUUCUAAAAUCCAUUUGUUGAAUGACUCGGUAAAAUGAUUCUCACAUGAGUGAUUUUUGCAUACUGUGUCAAAAUAAGCCCUGCACCAGUUUUGUGCAGGGUACCAUACCAAAUCCUUUGCAGCUUGUUUAGACACAGCACCCAUGACUUUCAAUUGAUCAUGAAAUUAUUCUUCAUAGGUGCAUCAGGCAGACCACCACAGUAACUUUCUCAUUUGUACACCUUUCCAAGCCUUGCUCCAAUUAGCUUCUAUGUGGCUUGCACACCAUCUAUGAUGUGCUUUAGGAAACACCUGACUAACAGCAUCCAGUAGCCCCUGUAACAAUAAAAAUCAUAACAAGUUAAAGUAUUAUUUGUAUAAGAAUUUAACUGAAAAUCAGAAACUUAUUAAAAUCAAAAUCAACUACCUUAUGCAUAUCAGACAUGAGUGUUACUCCUUCACCAUCUGCCAGGUCUAGAGAAUUUCUCAGCAACUCAAUAAACUAUUUCCAUGUUCUAGAUGUCUCUCUGUCCACCACUGCCCAAGCAAGUGGAUAGAAGUGUUUCACUGAAUCUUGUCCCAUUGCAACCAACAAGAUUCCCUUGUAUUUUUCUUUUAAAAAAGUCCCAUCUAGCCCUAUAAAAGGCCUCAAACCUCAUUUCCAGCCAUUUUUUAAAGCUUUAAUGCACACAUACAUUCUUAAGAAUCUUCUUUUUCCUUGUUCCAAAGCCUCUCUAGAUAUAUUUAUGAUAACAUCAGUACCAGGUUUGCUGUCCCUCAAUUCUUGAGCAUAACCCUCCAACUUAUUGAAUUAAUCAAUGUACGCUACCCUCCAAUUUCUCUAACACAAGCCUUUUAACCCUCUUCAUCUUGGAAUAACUAAUGUUCAAAUUAAAAUUAUCAUCCAAAUCUUGUCUCAUAUCAUUUGCACUGUACUUUGGAUUAUUCUGAAGUUUUUUCUUGAAAUAGUGUGCUAAAGCUUCUUGAGUGGCUCUUCUAUUCUUAAAAGCAUUUUCACCACAUGAGUGUUUGGUGUUCAAGGUUUUAAUUUUGAAUCCCUGGUUUUUCUUAUCUUCAGAUAUCAAACACUCAAAUGGACAACCAGUAUCACACAAGUAUCUCAAUCUUGUAGAGUCACUUUUUUCAACUUUUAAGUGCAACCUUUCUAACAAUAGAGUAAAAACUCACAAUUCUUUUAGCUUCUUUAAGAUCUUUAAAGCACAUACCCUUUUCCAACUCUAAGAAUCUGUCUAGCUUAUCAUUGAUCUCUCUGUUUUUUUCCUUUCUAAAGACUUCCAAUUCAUCACUAUUGUAAUCACUAGAAAUAGGUUCAUUAUGAUCCUCUUCCUCCUCAUUUGAUUCACAAUCAGUUGCUACCUCUACUGGCACAGCAGGGUAAGGCUUGUUCAGGUCACAAAUAUUAGGAAUAACAACAAUAGCUUCACCCUCAUCUACAACAAAUAAUUGAAGAACACUAAACUGACUAGACAGAGCAGAUUGUAGAGUCCUAAUGCUUGAAUCAUCCUCAAGCAAAUAAUAUCUACCAGUUGGCCCUGUUACUAACAGUUGUUUCACAGCCCUAAACCCAUAUUUCUCAAUGAACUCUGAGCAAAUGUCAAUAUAUGACAGCAAAUCCACAUCAUAACCAUGCCAGAUUUCAUUCAAUUUUUUAAUGUAUACAACUUGAGGAGAAAGGACCCACUUGCCCCCAUAGUUAAAUACUAAAUCCACUUUUUCGGUCAUUCUUCAAAUAUUUUACAUGGCAGACAAAAAUAGUGAAAAGGAAUUGUCAGCCAUAAACAAAACAAGUUAUAGGAAAACUAACAUUAUUUAAUUUGAAGAUAAAGGUAGUAAAGUUAUAGGGACCACUAACAUUAUUUAUUUCAACUUCACAUAGAAUACAACACUAAAACAAACAAAAAAGUGCACAAGUUGGGAACAAUAAAGUCAUACACAUACUAGUCACACACAUACCUAACUCGAGAAAACAAUCUAUAAAGCAUGUAAAAGCAAUAAAAGGCCCUAACAUCAGAAAACAAUGUAUAAUGUCAACACUACACAAACUUCACAACACUAUAGUACAAUAGACCAAAUGCAAUCAAAAAUCGAAUAGAACUAAACCCUAACUAUUUACGAAAUACAUUUAAUCGAACAAUCAUUACACAAUAUUUAUGAAAAUUAUUAAGAGUAAGUCUUCAAUUCUUACUUUAUCGGAGUAGCAAAUCGAUUUCUUCACUUUUUACUUGAACAUCGCGGCAGAUCCAAGAACUGAUGAAGGUGGGGGGAAAUGUUUAGGGUUUUGUUUAAAGAAAUGGGUAAUGGGUGUUUUAUUGGAUGUGUUGGGUAUUUUGAAGAUGGGUCGGGGUGGAUCCGGGUGGAUAGGGUGGUUUGGGUCAAACAAAUUAGGCUUUAAUUAAUUAAAUUUCCAACCAAUUACAACAUGCCACGUAAUAAAUGAAAUAAUUAAAUAUAUUUACUAAGUAGUCCGUUAGUCAAAAGAGCAAAAUAAGUCCCUAAAGGUUAACCCCAAGGGUAUUUUGUGGCCGAAAGGUAAACAAGGGGUAUUUUUGUACCAAUUCUGAUACUAUAAGGGUAUUUUAGACCUUUCUCCCAUUAUACAAAUACAAUGUAUUUGUGUUUGUAUAAAGCAGGAGAGAGAUUUGAUAUACAAAUACAGAUAUUUUAACUCAAUUUUAGGUUGAGAAUAGAAUGGAGCGUAUAUUAUGGAGUAAAUUUUAGAUUUAGCAAACAUAAAAGUCAUAGUUGUAUGCUAUAGCUAUAAUUUGUAUAAUUGCGCUCCAUAACAAACUUUAUGUUUGCUAUGGAGCAUCAGAUUUACAUAAAUCGUUGGCAGCCUCUCGUUUGUAUAAAUCGCUGACAGCCUCUCAAUUCAAUUUUAUGUGUUUGUAUAUCUGCAUAAAAUUUGAAUUUGUAUACACUUGAAUCGAAAUAUAACAUUUGUAUAUCAAAAUCUAUCUCUCUCUCGCGCGCUUUAUACAACACAAAUUAUACAUUGUAAUUUGUAUAAUCUGUGUUUGUAUAAAGUGAGAAAGAGAGAAAGGCAAAAAAGAACUGGACAGAGGAAGAUCUGUACUUGUAUAAUUAUAAGUGUAUAUGACGAAAAUAUAUGUAUUUGUAUUUGUAUACAGUUUUCUCUUGCUUUAUACAAAUACAAAUACAUUUGUGUUUAUAUAAAGUGAGAGAGGCGAGGGAGAGAAUGGCGAGCGAGAAAUAUAAGGAGAGAGGCGAAUGACAACUGUUUAUUAAGAAUUACUAUUAAAUCAAACUGUGAUUAUAACAUUUAAUUUGAAUUAAUAAUUUGUUAUUUUAUACAAUUUUCCUUAUAAUAUGCCAGCCCAAAUUGUCCAACCCAACCAAAGUUAGUAAAGAAGCCCAAACGCGAACGGCGUCUCAUAAUUAGGGUUUCAAGAGGUACACAUCUAUUUAAACUGCUAUUCUACUCUUCAGACCCAUUCACUCACCCUGCUGCUUCUAAUACUUCUCUGAUUUUGGUUUUAGGUUUUUGUUUUCUUAAUUAGGUUUCGCUCCUUUGUUGAAAUUUUAGCUAUUUUUCACCUAUGAGGAAGACAUCCCAGGAAUAGGAAGUGCCGUAUGACACUUUAAACAGCAGCGGCGGCGCAGUUUCCACUCUCUUUCCCAUCCACCAUUCAUCGGAUUCUUUCCAGUCUCCGUUCAAUGGUCGGGAUCUGUGGCCUUCUGCUCCGUCGUUGUGUGUGUGAUUUAUAACGGGUCUCUGAGGUUUCAUCCAUUUUUAAAUUACUAUACUCUUAUCGGUCCGAUGCCACGUCGACGGUAGCAAAAUGCGAUGACCGAAGAUGCUAUGAUUGGACCAAUAACAAGUUUUAAUUAACGUUUCGCAUUCUGAUAGGAAUCUGUGUACGGAUUUAUUCAAUUCCUUCACGGAGCCGUUUCGUGCGAUUACAUCCCUUUUCAGAUUUGUUUCUUUUGAAAACAAAACAAAAUAUUUUUUAAGCCAAUGAUGAUUUUUAUAUAAAUAUUUGGAAUUACCGUCUGAACAUUAUUGAUGUGUGAUCGAAUAUCUGAGGCUUCAUAUUAAAAUUCAUCUUUGUUGACGUUCGAUAAAAAAAUUGCAGGUGAUCAAAAUCUUGGUCUAUACAAUUGUUGAUAGUUAAUCUUAAGGCUCGGAUCCCUCUUUUUACUAAAUUAGAACUUAAUUGAAUAAACUCGUUACAUCUUAAAUAUGUAAGAAAAGUGUUAUAGGUUUAUUCUUCGAGAAAGGGAUUAUAUUUUUGAUUCAAUCAAUAAAUUUAACAAGCUAUUUUGUUUUUUGUUAAAAAUAAAUAAAUUAGAAUUUAAAUCAAUCAAGCUAAUUAAUUUUAUAAUAAAAUAUUUCUUUUUAAUCAUUUAACUUAAUCCACUGUUAAUCAUGAAAACAACCGCUUAAUAGAAUACAAAGUAUAUUAAAUAUUUCUUUCGUUUCACAAAGAAUGACCUGGCUUGACUUGGUACGGAGUUUAAGUAAAUAAAGAAGACUUUUGAAACUUGUGGUUCUAAAUUAAAAUUAUGUUAAAUGUACAAAAUUGUCUUUUAAUCUUGUGGUUUUAAACAUGUCACGUGGAAAGCAAAAAGUAAAAUGUUAUCAAAAAAGAAAGAGGUCAUUCUUUUUUAAACUGACUAAAAAAAAAAGUAGGUCAUUCUUUGUGAAAUGGAGGGAGGAGUAAUAAAAAUACGGAACAUUAAUGGGGUUUAGUCCUCAUAUAAGAUUUCAAAUCAGUUCUAGUUAUUUUUUCAUUAACAAAAGAUCUAAAGUAACUUAAAAUCUAAAUGUGAUUAAAAUAAAUAGAAUAUGGAAGAGUGAUAUAUUUUGUAUUGUGUAGACGAAAAUUAAACGAUAAUUUUAAUUUAUAAAUUCUCGAGUAUCACCAAUAAUAAUUUUUUCAUUAUUCUAACUACUGUUAAUGUCAUGAGAUUUGCAUUAACCCAAAUAUAGAAAAGGUCUGAUAUUCAUUCUAAAUUCCUUCAUAGGUUAUAAUGAAUAGCAAGUAAGUUACUAUCAAAAUUACUACUCUUGAACUUGCAGGUGACCAAAUCUAAGAAGCCAUUAGAGAGCAAGAAAAGCUUUAGAUUGGAAACUGAUUUUGGAAUGAAUUCAACUGAUUCAUUGAGAUGAAGACUGUCCUAUUUAUACAUGAUACAAUUGCAUCUAAUCUAUCUAACCAAUCAACAAUUAACAUGUUGACUGAAUUAAUAAGUUAGUGCUAACAAUUUAUCUAACUAACUCAUUAGUCGACUUAGCUAACUAACUGAUGUGACAUACUUGAGCUGACUAACUAUUUAACAAACUCAUAUCUCAAUACUCCCCCUCCUCAAGCUGGAGGGUCAAGUAUAUUAAACACUCCAAGCUUGCCAAGUAAAUGAAAGUGUUGAAUGCUAGUGAGGGCCUUAGUUAAUAGGUCAGCUUGUUGCUCCUUUGUGUUGACAUACCCGUCCUUGAUCUUGUCUCGAACGAAAUGACAGUCAAUUUCGAUGUGCUUUGUCCUCUCAUGAAAAAUUGGAUUUUCAGCAAUAUGUAUAGCAGAUAUACUAUCACAGAAAACAAUGAUUGGUGAUUUAACAUGCACAUUCAACUCCUGAAAUAAUCCUCUCAACCAAGUUAAUUCUGCCACAGUUGCAGCCAGACUUCUAUACUCAGCUUCUGCUGAGCUGCGAGACACUGUUUGUUGCUUUUUCGAUUUCCAAGAGAUUAAUGAAUCCCUGAACUUAACUACGAAACCUGUAACUGAUCUUCUGGUAUUUGGGCAAGCAGCCCAAUCAGAGUCACACCAACAAGUAAUUUGUUUAGUGUGUCUAGACUUCAGUAAUAUGCCUUGACCUGGUGAAUUCUUCAAAUAUCUAACAAUUCUCAAAGCAGCUUCCCAAUGUGACUUCUUGGGCUUUUGCAUGAACUGGCUUAACGUCUGUACUGAAUAGCUAAUGUCAGGUCAUGUUAUGGUCACAUACAAGAGUUUCCCAAUCAAUUUUUGAUAGGAAUUAGCAUCACUCAAUAGUUCAUCAUCAGUGUUGUUUUUAGCUUCAUCAUAUUCCAGUGUGGUGAGUUUUCUAUUGCAUUCAAGAGGUGAACAUGCUGGUUUUGAUCCACUCAGUCCCAUUUCAGAGAUAAGCUCCAACACAUACUUCCUUUGAUUCAACAAAACACCUUUUGUAGACCUCAAAACCUCGAUUCCAAGAAAAAUUCCAGCUCCCCCAAGUCUUUCAUUUUGAACUUGUGAUUGAGAACAUGUUUGACCCUUUCAAUCAAUGUGGUACUACUACUAGUAAUAAACAGGUCAUCAUCAUACACCAAUACAAUUACAGUGUCACCUUGUUCCUUCAAGGUGAAUAGUGAGUAAUCAUGAUUACUUUGUGAGAAUCCUGCAUUCACUAAGGCAUCAGUCAGUUUGAUAUUCCACUGUCUUGAGGCUUGUUUCAAGCCAUACAAAGACUUCAGUAGUCUGCAUACUCUUGUCUCCCCCUGUCUUCUGAAACCCUCUGGCAUUUCCAUAAACACCUCUUCCUCAAAGUCUCCUUGUAGGAAGGCAUUAUACACAUCUAUUUGCAAUAAAUUCCAUCCCAUAUGUUAUGAUUGAUCUCAUUGUUACCAUUUUCACUACAGGUGAAAAAGUGUCAUGGUAAUCCAGACCUUCCCUUUGACUGUAGCCCUUAACCACAAGCCUUGCUUUAAAUCUCUCCACUUGCUUUUUUAUUUGGUCUUAUAAAUCCACUUGGAUCCCACUGUGUUCUUACCUGCUGGUAAUGGUACCCCCUCUCAAGUCUUGUUUUUCUCAAGGGCAUGUACUUCAUGUUUCAUUGCAUCUAUCCAUCUUGGGUCCCUUGCAGCUUCUGUGAAUUUUUUAGGUUCUACUAGUUGUGAAAAUUUGCUCAGAUAGCACUGAUACUUGGGAGAUGUUUUUUUUAUAGGAAAUAUAGUUGGCAAUAGGAUACAAACUAAUGGUGUCCCUUUUCUUGACAGCAUAGUCCUUCAUCCAUAUAGGUUCCUUCAUUUGCCUGUGUGAUUUCCUGAUAUAUUAUGCUUCAUUUUGUUGUACCACUGUGUCUCUUGACAUAUCAUUCAACCCUGCAUGUUCAUCCACUUGUGUAUUAUCAGCCACAAGGUCAUGAGGAGUUUUUUGGGCAUCAUUAGCCACAAGUUCGCCAACUACUAGAUCUUGUUGGACUUCACCAGAUUUGUCAGUUACAUCUUCACUACCUGAGACAUUGAGGGGAUCUCCGGAACUCUCAUUAUCAUAUACUGUAUCAAUCAAAUGAGAAAGUCUCACAACAUUUUGUUCCAUGUGUGUGUAUGAAUUCUCCAGUGUUGUAUCAGAUAAUUUCUUCCUAAAUGGAAAGACAUGCUCUUUGAAUUGUACAUCCAUGCUAACAAAGAAAGUGUUAGUGGUGAGAUCCAAAAGUAAGUAUCCCUUUUGUGUCUCAGAAUAUCCCAUAAGGACCGACUCUCUAGCUCUUUCUGCAAAUUUGGUACUCUUGACCACAUUUGUAGCAUAGCACAGGCAUCCAAACACUCGUAGGUGAUCAAUAUGGUUCCUUCUCUUGUACAUGAUCUCAUAAGGAGUAUUCCUUUGUAAUACACUUGAAUUACUUAUAGGAAACUUCAAUCUAGAUUGUUUAGCUUUAGGGCAUACAGAGCAAUUUUCAUGUAACCUAGCAUUACAUUUGCCUUUAACUACAUCUAUUUCUUUCAUGACUGACAUGGAAGGAUGUCCAAGUCUCAUAUGCCAUCACUUGUACAAUUCCGGAAUGGUAUCAACUGCUGAUAUUCAUUGUUGUGAGACACUGUUUUAUUGACUUAUGUUGACUGCAUGUUCCUCCUGACCUGAAAAUGUACAGUCCACAAUGUUCCUUACUAAUCCCACUCACCUUGCCACUAGAGAGGUCCUGAAACACACAGAAGUGAGGAAAGAUAGAUACACAGCAAGAGAGGUCCUUGGUUAUCCUAGAAACUGACAUAAGAUUGAAUCUAAAGUCAGGCACAUAUAACACAUUUUGCAUGAUAGAUUCUGCAAAUACUUGAGCAUCUCGUAUGUGUGUGAUGUCUGCCCUAUCUCCAGUUGGAAGGUACACUUUAUCAUUACUGAAUUGUCUCACUUCCUCAUGUCUCAUCAGACUUUCCAGACUAGCAGUAACAUGAUGAGUUGCACUAGAAUCAAUUAUCCAUUCACUAUGUGAAAUGUGUGAAUUCAAAGAAGUAAUGGUACCUGAUGAAUUCACAGCUUGUUGUCCUUCAAUUGCAUCAUUGCUCAACAAUGUGAGGAUUUGUUGAUACAGAGAUUCAAUGAAGUAGUGCCCCUUUCCAUCUGUUUGAGAUUGAGUUCCAGUAGAGUGAUUAUCAUGAUUGUUUCCUCCAGUAGAUAUGCCAACCCCGGACACAUUGUUACAUUAGCAAAAGGUUGUCCACAAUUUUUUCCAUUGGCAAAAAAUUGAGGAGGUGAAAUCGAUUCAUUGAAGUAUCCCCUGCCAUUGUAGUUACCAUUUCCACUACUAGGUUUUCCUUUGAAUUUGUAGUCAUCAGGAUAACCUAUGAGUUUCCAGCACUGUUCCUUAGAGUGUCCUCUCACAUGCCGUGGCGGACCCAGGAUUUUCACGAAGUGGGUUCAAGAUAUAAAAAUAUACCUAAUAUUAUUUGUAAUUUUUAUAGGCUAACAGCAUACAUAUCUGACUAUACUAAACAAUGUUAAUACAUUUGAAAUUUUUUUACAUUGACUUAGGAAUGAGACGGUAAAUAACAAGAUGGACGAAAAACUAGGCUUCAAUAUAAACUAAGAAGAUAAAAGAAUAUUAUGAAUGAUUUCUCUUCAUUCAACAUUUAACAAAUAAAUAUAAAAUAUUAAACAAAAUAAUUAUAACCUUAAUUUCAUAAUCGAAUACAUAGAAAUAUACCUAAUAUUAUUUGUAAUUUUUAUGAGGCUAACAGCAUACAUAUCUGACUAUACUAAACAAUGUUAAUACAUUUGAAAUUUUUUUACAUUGACUUAGGAAUGAGACGGUAAAUAACAAGAUGGACGAAAAACUAGGCUUCAAUAUAAACUAAGAAGAUAAAAGAAUAUUAUGAAUGAUUUCUCUUCAUUCAACAUUUAACAAAUAAAAACAAAAUAUUAAACAAAAUAAUUAUAACCUUAAUUUCAGAAUCGAAUACAUAGAAAUAUACCUAAUAUUAUUUGUUAAUUUUUUUGUUGAUUUUAGAAUGAUAAGGGAUUUUUUAGUUGAAGAAAUAAAAAAUAACCACAAUAAUCAUAUAUGUAUAUAUAAAGACUAGAAUCAAGAGACGAAAAACAUACUUGAUGGAUAUUGACUAUUGAUGCGAGAUUUGAGAGACGGGGAGAGUUUUUUUUCCUUCAAUAAAAAAAUAUGGUCAAAAUUUUGGGGGGGAAAGUAAGAGAGGUUCAAGAAGAUUUCAACAACGAAGAAGACAAAAGAGUUUUUAGAAUUGAGAAUAAUAGGGAUUAGUGCCUUUUUCGUUGAGUUUUUUUUAAAAAAAAAAUUAAAAACAAAAAGGACAAAAGUUGUUGACUAUUGAACUUUUAAUUGUAAAAAGUAAAAAGUUGUUCUACUUUUUAUAGUUUCUAAGUAACUAAAAGGACAAAAGUAACACCUACAUAGAGGAAAAAAUUGUGUGUGAACGUUUUAUAUAUCAAAAAAACGAAUUAAAACUAAAAUGUGGCAAUGGGGAUUCGAUCCCGGGUUGGCUGGGAACAUUGAACCUCCCUCAACCACUCGGCUAAGCUUCAAACUUGUGUUAGUGGGUUCAAAAUUUAAUAUAUACAUAUAAAAUUUUAAAAACUGAUUAAAUAUAUACCGUGUUAUUUUUCAACGAAGUGGGUUCAUAUGAACCCACUUGAACCACUGUAGGUCCGCCCCUGCUCACAUGACAGUGAUCACACCUCAUGAAAUGUUUUUUUCCUCUGUAUGUUUGAUCUCUACCAGCUUGCAAAAUUGUAGGAUCAUUAAAUCUAUCCUAGCCUGUAGCUACCUGAGAACAACUAAUCUUCCUUUCACUUUCAUCCUCAGAUAUCAUAGCAUAAGCCUGGCUUACAGUAGGAGCUACUGAUUUCAUAAGGAUUUGCCUUCUAGUUUGAUCAUAGGAGUCAUUCAAACCAUUCAAAAUUGAAAUAGACGUUGCUCUUGCAAGUGAUCAGAGUAUUCUUUGGACUUAGGACAUUUACAUUUAGGUGUUGAAAUGAUAGUAUUAUACUCAUCCCAUAAUUCCUUGAGUUUAGAGUAAUAGACAGAAACAGAGCUAGUACCUUGUGUGUGGUUUGUGAUUUCACGAUGCAGCUGAAACACUCUCACACGAUUGAUUUUGUUGAAGCGCUUUUCCAGAUCCUCCCAAACGGCAGUUGCAAUUGAUCCAUACACUAUUCCAUUCAACAAUGGUUUCAAAACUGAAUUCAUGAUCCAUGAAUGUACGAUCGCAUCACACUUCUCCCAUACAUAAAGCAGAGUUCUCUCGUAUUUCUCCUUCUUGCAAGUCCCAUUGACAAAGCCCAGUUUUCCUUUUCCAAUGAGAGCAAUCUUCAUAAAUCUGCUCCAUAGGCCAUAGUUCUCAUUGCCUGUUAGUUGUAUCGGAAUAAGCAUGGAACCAGGAGUAUCUGAUGGCUGCAUAAACAACGGGUGUUUGUGAUCGAUGUGUACUUCAGUGGUUUCCUUCAUUUUUACGUCAAAUUACAAAGAAUCGAUAUGGAAUAAUAUGCGGAAUUGAAUCAGAAACAAUUACCUCAGAUCGGGAUCGUGAGCUCUGAUACCAUAUCAAAAUUACUACACCUGCAGAUGAACUUGCAGGUGACCUAAUCUAAGAAGCCAUUAGAGAGAAAGAGAAGCUUAUGAAUGGAAACUGAUCUGGGAAUGAAUUCAACUGAUUCAUUGAGAUGAAGACUGUCCUAUUUAUACAUGAUACGAAUGCAUUUAAUCUGUCUAACCAAUCAACAAUUAACAAGUUAGUGCUAACAAUUCAUCUAACUAACUCAUUAACCGACUUAGCUAACUAACUGAUGUGACAUACUUGAGCUGACUAACUAAACAAGAACUAACUAUUUAACAAACUCAUGUCUCAAUAGUUUGUAAUUUAACUAAGUCCACCAAACAAACGUAAUUUUCGAUAAUGACUCCAAUGCGGGUCAUCACAUCCCACUCCAGAGUCUUGCCAUAAGCAGAAUGUGAGCAUACUCAACAAAAGUGUAGUAAAGCUAUAGAAGUAACUGAGAAAUUGUGUUGAUAAGGACAACACCGCUUUUUAGGUUGUGUUUUGAUUGUAUAUAUUCUAUUUCUUUAUAAUUAAAUACACAAAAUAAUUACUUAACAAAAAAAAAGAGGCUAUUCAAACGAUUCAGUAAAAUUCCAAGCUUAUUAUACAGUGGUAUUUUGUAAAUUUCUAAAUAAAUAUAUCAAGUACAAUAUAGUUUUUUAAUUAACUACUUUAAUUCUUAAAAAUAUAGUUGAGGAGCUCGUCCUGGGCUUUUAUGGGCCGUAAUGGGUUCAUAAAGCAGGCCGAUCCACUUUUAUCCCUUGCACGUCAUCCCCAAGCCUAUAUGGGCUUAAGGGAGGUAGUCCAGUCCGGAUUUAAGUGGGCUGGAAGUAGAUUAGUUUGGUCAUAUAGCCUGAAUAAAUUUGUAUUUUUGAGAGCUAUAAUAAAGCAUUAAUAUUAUUAAAAUUUUAUUUAUUUAAAUUUGUGUAUAUAUGAAAGUGUUAUUUAGCCAUAGCUUGAUAUUAAGGUAUUGUUCAUUUAAUAAUUAGGUCUAUAAUUGUUUUCAAAUAAAUCCUGGACAGUUAAAUAAAACAUCUACUCCCGUCAUUGUAUUGCACAAACUCUUUUAAGAUGAGAGAAAUAAGAUUGAAAUGGUUCAUACACAUAAAGAGAGAUGUACGGAUGUGUAAGUGAAGUUUGGAAGGUUGGUCGUUGCAUGAAUUAAGAGAGAUAAGGGUACGUAAGUUGAUUAGACAAAACAUGAUACAACUUUAGUUUAUUGAAUACAUGAAUCUGGAUAUGAUGGUAUUAAGUCGUGCAUCUAUCAAAAUAAUCUCUCUAUCCACAAAGAUAGAAACAAAGUCUGACUAUAUCCCACCCUCUCCGGACUCCACUUAUAAAAUUACAAAUGAUAUAUUGUUGUGAAAUUUGAAAAAAAUAAUUUUCAUUUUCAAAGUGAAGUAAAAUUUGAAAAUUAUAUGGUGUUUGACCAUGAAUACAAAUUAGAGUUUUUUUAUUAAAAAAAAAACAAUCUGGAGUGAAGAAGUGAAAACAUCAUUUUGUUGUAUUUCAAAUUCUUGAAUUUUAUGAUCGUCAUGUUUUCAAGAGUUUCAACUCCGAAAUAAAAUAAAAAUCUUCUUUAGUUUUCAAACUCUCUUGAAGUUUUUUGGUGUAGGUGACAGUUAGGAUUCGAUUAUGACUGAUAAUGACAUAUUAUCUGCAGAAGUUAUUAUCCUAUUAAAAUUUUGAUCAUAUUAUAAGCCAUUUUAAGCAUUACUUAAUAUGUUUGCCAAUGCAUAUUAAAAUUGACCUGGCUAAUGUUUAAAUUGGAUAUACGUAGUGAUAUUCAUUGAAUCAUGUAAGAUUUUAAAAUGACUAAAAACUCAAGUCUUAUAUUUAUUAUAAUUAUUAGUAGUUGAUAGAUGCCUUCUACUAAACUAAACAAGUUAAUUUGGCAGCUAAUCAAAAAGGUUAUAUUAAAUUUAAUUACAAGACACUGACUUUUUUUUUAUUUACUAAUUCGAUCAAUCUGAAUUUAUGUAGAAUAGACCAACUAAAGGAGUAAAGUCUACUGAAAGGCUCUAUUUGCACAAAAUGAACUUAAGGAUAAUACGAAUUAACAGUUCACAGAAAAUUAUCGUGUCGUCUCACUAGUGUAUAAUGUAAUCGCAUGAAUAUAGAAUAUAUGCAUCACACUCAAAUUUUCUUAUAAAUGCUCUCAAACAUCAAGAUAACUAUUUAAAGUACAUCAUACUUUUUAAUUAUACAUAUCAGUAUCAGUAAAUCGUAAAAUUUCAUGUUUAUUCCAAUUGAGACCUAGGUAAAAUUAUAGGAUGUGUCAUAGUUUAUAUGGUUAACUUAUACAUGUUUCAACAAUUACUUAAUUAAAAAUCAACGUUUGUUCAUCAGUUCUCAAAGAAUAAACAUAAAAAAGAUGAUAUGGCGACAUGAAAACCAAAAAGGAUGGAUAGUUGGUAAUUUAUGGAUCAAAUCAUGGAAUCCAGUUGCAUUAUACAUCCCCACUAAUAUUUAUUUAUUUUGAAAUAAAAACAUUAUAUCUAUAUUAUUGUGUUAUACAAAUCUGUCAGAAAGUGAUCGGACGUAUUCCAUACCAUAACAUGCGGCAACUUGGGCAGAUCUAUAUCUAUACUACAUGCACAAAUCCGCAUUAGCACGGACUCAAUAUAUUAAAUUAAAAGUAAUUUUGCGUAUUUUUUAAUUUUAAAUUAUAUUUUUUAUUUGACGAAUGUUCAAUAUUGUUAUCAAAUUUAUUCAUGUUAAGGCUCAUUGAUAUGACAUUUUCUUUAAUUGAUGGAAGUUUAAAUUAUCAACAAGUACAUUAGCAAUAUGUUUUUGACAUAAACCAAGUACAUUAACAAAGAGGUUUGAAUUUCGAAAAUACUCUCAACAUAAAAUAAACACGUCGAUAAAGAGGUAUCUGACUUUGAUUAGUGUUGGGAUGAUGAUGAUAUAAAUGAUUUGGUACCCUCUAAAUUGUCUUAUCCUCAUAUUUUAACCUCUUAUUCUUGUCUUGAUUAACAAAUUGGGCCCUACCCACAUGAUAUUCCAACGAUUAAGAUACGUCCAAAUACUUCUUUUUUUAAAUUAAUACUUAGUAGGUCCCUUAACUGAAAUUAUUGAGGGACCAAAAUUAUAGGAUCAAUUGCAGUAAUAGUCACUUGGAGUUCCAUUAUUAUAACAAAAAAGUACAAAAUUCUUAAAUUGUUAAUCGUUUCAGAAUAAAUUUUAGCAUUUUAAGUUUUUCAAAAUAACGAACAAUUUAUCCCUCAUGAAUUAGAUUUCACAAUGUCAAUAUCACCAGCUAAAAAUAGUGUAUGAUUGAUCAUAUUUUAUUUGGACUUUGGGGUUGUGAUUUGCAAUUUCUAAGGGAAAAUACGUAAAAUUAAUAAAUUAAAUUAAUUUUUCGUGAUGAGUGAUAAAAGAUGAAAUGCUAAUUUAAUUAUAAUUUAACUAAAAAUAAUUUAUAUGAAAAAUGAUCAAAUGUAUUCAUGCAAAAAAAAAAAGUUAAAGAAGAGGGAGGGGCAGGGGAAAUAGGAAAGAAAUUACGAGGUGAGGAACUGAACUCUUAUUAAUAGGGGUGUGCAAAAAUCAAACCAUUUACUUUUGGCAUGAAAUAGGUAUAAAAAGUAUGCAUAAAAAUGGUAUGAAAUUCGUAUACUGAUAUAACUUAUGUAUAAAAGUUAUUUGUACUUUUGUAUCUUGUAAUACUGACACAAUAAUUUAUGAUGGAACAGGAAAAUAUGCAAUUCAAAAAGUAUUGGAGCAUAAAUUAUUGUCGCUUGGUUAUAAAAUAACUGUAAGAAGACCACAAUUUGAAAAUUGAAAAUAGGGGUGUGAAAAACCAAACUGAUCGAUAAACCGAACCGAAAAAAGUGUUAUUGGUUUAUUGUUAUUGGGUUAUUGGGUUAACAGUUAUUUAAUGGUUUUAUAAAAAAAAUUAUUGGGUUAUCGGUUCGAUAUUGAUUUUUUAAUAUUGGGUUAACCAAUAACCAUUAAGAAUAUAAUAAUUUACUAUUUUAAUUUUUAGUCAUACAUAAAUAUCAAACAAAAAAUAUUAAUAUAAUCACUUAUAUUAGACUUUUAACUAUAAGGACCCUACACAAUUAACAUUACUUAAUUAACUCUGAUCUCUACAUUUAUCCUUUAGGUUUUAGUAUUACUUUAGUUUUUUAGGCAACGACUAGGGUUGUGAAUUAUGAGUAUUUGCUAUACUUUUACUAUACUGAGCAGAAUUUUUGAACUCAAUGAGUAAUUAGAUUUCUCUCUUUUUUUAUUUCGCGUUAAAUUGUUGGACAAGUCAUAUAUUUGUUUUGAAAUCAUUUUCUUAGGUUAAACCGAAAACCAAACCGUUAAAAGACCAAAAACCGAUAAACCGAUAAGAAAUAUCUUAUUGAUUUGGUUAUCGAUUUAGCAUAUUUAAAAACCAAAAACCGAUAAUACUUAAAACCAAACUGAACCGACCGAUACACACCCCUACUUAUUAACCAUCUGAAAGUUUUGAUAUUUAAGCUAUAAAAAUUAUUCGAGUUUGCUGUGACAUCUCAUAUUCCUCUUUAUCAUUACAUAUUCAUCAUAAAAUGAAUUGACUCGACUAGUCUAAAUUCUUGAAGAAAUUAGAGAAAUACUAUAUAUACAUCUUAACCUUUUUUUUUAUUUUCCUUGUUCAGUAUCCAUAUACAAGUUUGAUUAAAUUCAAUUUACAUCGAAAAAUUCCAUAUUAAGAAUAAAAUUUUCUCUAAUAAAGGCGACUUCAUACCCAACGAUAAAAAGAAAAAAGAAGAUGUAUUUCUCUUACGACGAAUGUUUAAAAUUAAAUCACAAAUCAUUCGACGGAAAGAUAAAUUACCAAAUUCUUAAUUCUCCAAAGAAAAAUAAGUAUUUUUAAAAAUGAGCUGACGAUGUAAUUUGUUUUAUCUACUGUCAGUACAUAAGAGACACAUCUUGAUUUUUGUUAACAUCUAUGUUUUUUAAAAAUUUAGGUAUGUUUCAAGUUAAUAAUUAUAUAUCAGGACGGUACAUAAAAAUAUUCAUGAUUUAUAUAUGAAGUUGACGUAAAUAUUAAAAAUAUAUAGGAAAAAAACAACAUACAAACGGCGCCACUUAUCCAAAGAAUAUCCUUUUUGGUAAUAAUUGGGUCCAAAAUUUCCACUUCCUGAUAAUUAAAAAUCUCACUGCUUUUUUCACUUUUUAGGAGUAGUAGUUUCUUUUUAGGUUCUCAUGCGUUGUCUUUUUCUCUUUUCAUUUUUUAAAAUUAAAAAUUACAAAGCUGUUAUUGUCAUCUAAAUUAUCCACUACUAUACUAGUUACCAUGUGCAAAAUAAAAGUUGAAAUUUGAUGUUAUAGCUACCCUAUACUCUUAAUUAAUUAAUACUCAUUAUUAUUUUUAUGGAGGUUCAUCGAUUGUAAUAGAGUGAUAAUCAAGAAUUUUGUAUCAACUUUGAAUAUAAAAUAUUUAUUUUUGAAAGGAAGUGUUUCAUGUAGAUUGUGAAUUUAGAAUAAAUACGACUUUUUAUGUGUGUGUUUUCAUUUCUUGUUUUGCUUAAUAUAGAUGUAUUACUAGAUUUUGUCAACGUGUUCAAUAUUGAUUUAUAAGUAAAUUCUUCUCAUUCUACUAAUGGAGAAGAAAAAUCUUGUAAGAAAAAUUUGAAUCACAGGCUUUACAAAGAAAAAUAAUAGUUAUUCGCACUUAGAAUUGUGUGUUGAGUGAUCUCAACCAAGCCGAAUCCAAUCGAACUUUUCAUAAUAUCUAGCUGAGUUUAAUCGAGCUAUUUCAAAGUAUAACUGAGCUCAACGAACCCAUCAAAUGUGUUCUAUGGUAACAUCAUGUGUAAGUCUCUUUCUGAAAGAUAAAUGAAUUUGAGGGGCACAUGAUGCAAGGUAGUUGGGAGAACAAUAAAAGCAAAAAAGGAAAAUCGGAAGAAUUAAUUGUUUUAUUACUAUUAAAGGUUGUGGUAAAGUGAGUGAUAAAUGGCCAUUCAUCCUUGACAUCAAAUUUAAAUCAUGAAUAUAGAUUCAUUUUUAUAGGAAACAAUUUAACCCCUAAAUGAAACUUUUCAAUAUAAAAGUUUAAAACAAAUACUGAACACUGAAUAAAACUAUUAAUUCUACAACCUGAAAAACGUAGACAUAUAGUCAAAUGGACAUAAAAAGGGAAUAAUUACCAGUAUCAAACUUUAUGCCAAAGUAACAUUAAUUCAAUAGUCAUUGAAAGUGGAAUAAAUUUAGUACCUACCCAUGUCCCCAUUACUUGUUCACACGAUUAAUAUUGCAUCCUAUAUUUAUGGGAAACUACUUCCUUCUUACCACCAAAGAAUGUUUCAAGAUUUCAUACGUUAUUUUUUAGUUGACUUGAAUUGGUCUUCUUCUAAUCUUUUCGAUGUUAUUUUUUCUGUUCAUUUUUACUUAUCAUUUUUUUAUCUUUAAGGUUGAAAAGAGUGAUGCUCACCAUUAAUAUAUUAAAAAAAAAUCUUUAUAUUUCACUCUUUAACAUUAAUUAUUUAUUUUCAAAACAUAAUAUUAAACAUCAAUUAAUAGGAGUUGUACAAUAAAAUAGUCACGUCAAUAAUUAUCGUUUUUAAUAGGUAUGUCAAAUUCAAAUAUAACAAGUAAAUGUAAACUGUAGGAGUAAAUCCCAAGGGUGGUCGUGUGCAAAAUUAAAUGAUUAUUACAUUGAGAUUUCCAUAAGGUCGAAAUUUGAUUUAGUCGAAAUCUCAAGCAUAUAAUUAUUUCAUCUCAAGUUUUUUUUUGUAUUUUUUUUUUAUUAAUAUCUAUCUUAAGAAAACAUUAAUUAAGGACCUUUUGACUAAGAUUAUCAUUCAUUUAAAAAGGGAGAUAACAAUAAUUUAGCCAAAUAAUCCUUACGCUUCAUGUUCUAAAAUGAUUUUAAAAAAAUAGGCAUGUCAAAAUCUUAAAUAAGAAAUAAAGAGGGUAAGACAUAGUAAUAUCAUAUCGUAUUGUAAAGUUUGCUUUAUAACCUUUAAUACUAUUAAAUUUCUCUGGUAUCGAUCUACUAAAUUUAUGGAAUUAUUUUUAAAAAAAUUUGAAACCACUAUGUAAACAAAUAUUUCAUCUAGUAGUGUAAAUUUAUUUUUUUAUCGCACGCUAAGGUUAAUCAUUAUGACAAUCACGGACUAUAAAUGCACUGACACAUUAAUUAAUUCUUAAAACAAAGUUAGUAUUAUCUUAUUAAAGACGUCGGCCAAAAGCAACGUCAAAUUAUAUAAUUUGAAACUCUGAUUAAAGAAGCAAAUGUAUAAUGUAUUGUAACAAAAUGAUUAUAUAUAUAUAUAAAAAGAAAAAUACUAUAUUAAAACUUUAAAACUAUAUAAAACAAAACUUGAUCUUUCUUUUAGGUGUACCUUUUUUUAGAGUAUACCUUUAUUUUCUGUUGAGUUAUAGUAGAGUUUUUAAAGUAAUGGAAUUAAAUAUUGUCUCACCAUUAUUGGCGAUUUAGUUAGCAUUCACUAUCGAAUAUAAUAAAAUAAAAAGUGAUCGAUUAAUAUAAGACUGAGAGUAUAAGUUUUAUUCUAUUGAAGUGGAAGCGUAACUAUAUUGGGAUAUCUCCAACGGCAUCCAUUAUUAACUAAUUAAAUUAUUGAAUCAAUUAAUUACUCUUUGCCUACAAAAAGAUUCCAUGCACCAUGUGUAACAUUACUCAUCUUAGAAUAAUUCAAUGCACAUAUAUCUAAGGAUGAUUUAAUUCGAUACAUAAAGAAAAAUAAAAUGAUAGGACAAUUUCAAACUUGUGAAGUCCUCUCAUCGUUCACUUUUAACUUAUCCAUUACUGAUUACAUUACUAAAAAUAAAUCUAUUUUUUCUUAUUUAGAUUAAAGAAAUAAGAAAUAAUUUAUUAUUUAAUUCUCAAUUUGACCCUUAUUAUUAACCAUGUUGAAUUUAUUAUAUUUAAUGACUUACAUUAUUAAAUUGUCAUUUAUUAUAAUUUUUAAUAAAUAUUCUCUCCGUCUAACAAUAGUUGUCUACUAUUUUAAAAAUAGUUGCUGAACAAUACUUGUCCAAUUUAUAAAAUCAAGAGAUAACCUUUUGUGUCUAUUUUACCCUUACUAUUAAAUACUAUUUAUCAUCUACUAUAUUUUUCAAAGUAUUAAAUUUAAUAAAGUCAAAAAAUAAUUUAAUAAUAUUACCUCUAUUAUUUAUUAUUUUUUAAGGGGUGUGCUGUAACAAAUCAAAAUCCUCACUAUAUUAAUAAGAGCACUGAAACACUAUUACAACUUUAAGAUUCUAAUUGCAAUAGUCAAACUAUCAAAUUACAAUGAAAAUAUUGAAAUAACAACUUAACAAGUAACUAAAGAUAGAGAUAAGAAUGAAGAUGAGGAACUUAGACUCUAGAAGAAGAGAAGAGGACAAACAUUUUCUUCAAUAUGCAUAAACCCUUCUUUCAAACUCAUUCUUCCUUUUAACCAAAUGCUAAUUGGGCCUGGAUUUCAAAUAAAACACUUCAACAUUUUACGUGGCCCUAUCUCAUUCACCACUUCCACUACAUGAAAAGUGUGAAUUACAUGAGGAUUUUCUUAGGGAUUAGUAUGAAAAUCCGCAGGAAAUUUAUUUUCCUGCAAAUUUUCAUACUAAGCCCCAGGAAAAUCUCCAUGUAAUUCACUAUUGCCUUGUAGUGAAUUCUAACUCAUAAGCCUUUAUAGAGCUAGCUUGGUUUAGAACAUGUGCCAAGUCAAACUAAUGUUAAUAAGUAAAAAUGAAUCGAAGAAGUAACAACUUGUAAACUCUUAACCGUGUUGAAUAAAGAGAAAAAGAGCAUGUGCAUAUAUGUUAACCAAAGUAAACAAAACUAAUUUUCUUCUUUAAUACUUAUGAGAUUAUAAGUUUAAUCCUUACGAAUAAAAAUAAUCUUGAUAAAAAACAUUUUCUCAUUAGAGUCUCUUAUGCGAAUUAAUUGAAUUUCCUCAACUAAUAUCAAACAUGAAAAACCACAAUUAAAAUAAAAUCACGAAGAUGUAAUUAUUCCAUUGAAUCCACUGCUUAUAUGAGACGGUUAUCCAAAAAUUUAAACAAAAACUUAGAAUUAAGUAGUUUUCUUUUUCAAAAAUUAUUUGCAACCUUAUGUAAUUCUCAAUUUUUCACACGUAAAUACACAACUUGAAUCCGAAAAGGAAAAAAAGUAACAAUAGCUUAACAAACUGAGAGACAGAUAUAUAUAGAAAUAAAUUGAAUCGAAAUCAAAUAGUCGAAUAAAAUAAUUAAUUAAAUAGUCAUUCAUUCAAUAAUUUAGGUCACAAAUAUUAUAUCAACUAAAAAAAAGUUUGAUUAGUUGUAUAGAAAUACCUAGAAUAUGGACAACACAUUCCCAUCUUUCAUGCACACGAACCACAUCGUUGCUGUGCUUUCCCUUGUGCUCACGUCUUUCAUAUAUUAUUAUCUUUUUCUCCAAACUUUGCUUUGCUACUCACUUAAGUCUCCAACCGUUUUUCUUAAUGUUGAUAAGAAUAAUAAUAUAUAUAGGGUGUGUUACGUUCGGUAUCCUGUUGAUAAUAGAAGACUUGAGAUCGAAUUCAGCCUCCGUUUUUGCUAUUCAGACAUGAGCUUAUCGCACAUCACUUGUCUAGUGCAGCUUACAUCUCCCGUGUAAUUUGUGAGCCAAUAGUAUAAUGAACAUACAUUUAUUAAAACAAGAGCAAGUUUUUACUCAAAAUUAAUAAUAAGAGAUAAUUUCAAAGACCUCCCCUUACGUUUUACUCAAUCGCAUUGACCUCCUUCAUACGCAUACCUUCCUUAUAUAUAUAUUUUAACAAUUCUUUUAAAUCUAUUUUUCAUUAAUGUAAUAAAAUAAAAUUUGACAACUUUGUUCACGUAUUUUAUAAGGAAGAAACUAGAUUCCUAACUCCUAUCAAAAUCAGGAAGUGGUUUCUAGAUUUAUUGAAAGUGCAGACUUUGCUGGCUCCUGCUAUGACAAUGACAAUGACAAUGCUGGCGCGAGACGGAAAUACAUUUACAUUUAUCCCUUUUCCCUAUACGACAAUCUUUACCAUUAUACCCCUUAAUUUUUUGGUGUACAUGAUCGCGUUGGUUCGAAUUUUUUUGAUGGCGUAUUUAUAUAAACAUAUAAUUAACUUAUGUUUUAGAUAAUUUUUAAAUUCUACCAAAAUACAGUUAAUUAAGGUAUUUCUUAAGAAUAAGAAAAUAACACAAAAUAUGAAAUGAAUGAUGACACUAAAAUAUUCAAUAAAAAUAAUAAUGAAAUUGCAUAAAAUAAAUGUUACAAAUUAAUUAGUCAUAAUGAAAAUCAUCAUAACUUAAAAGUAAUGAAUCAUGCUAAAAUAAGUUUAGUAAGUUCUAAUUACAUGAUUAAACAUUAAACAAAAAUAAAAUUAGGUCAUGUAUUUUAAAUGCUUAGGUCAGUGUUAAAUUAAAGAACAAAUAUUCAACUUUAUUGUCAUUCUUAGUGUUGAAUCAAUUUAUUUUCGUUAAUAUUAGUAGUGAUUUGAUUUUGAUUUUGAUUAGAGUUUUGUUAGAAUUACUAAUAUCUAUUGACUAUAAUUUUUAUUGGACCAUUCAAAAUUUCAAGUCUCAAAAAUUCGAAAUAAUAUGUUAAAGAUAAAAAUUAUGAAAAAAUAUAAGAAAUAUUAGAAAUUAUAUCAAAGUGAAUAUUUUUUUAUAUAAAAUAAAUUUUAAAAAUUAUAUACAUAUAAUAUUGUGUUGAUUUGGUCUGAGUUGACUUUUUUUUUAGUUAAAACCAAACAAAUCCAACUCGAGUAUAAUUGAAUUUUUUUACAUCAUCAAAACAAAUCAAACCGAAUCACUAAUCAAGCUUUUUGACUUGAUUUACGAUUUAAUUUGAUUUUCGAUUCUAUUUUAGACAUCCGUCCUCAACAAAUAAAUAUUCCAAAUUCAUUUCAUUUCUUUUUCCUUUCCCCAAAACCAACUGAAAAAGAUAACCUCCAAUUAAAUUUCUCUUCUUCCUUCCUUCAUUCAAUUUUUCGUCAAAACGUGUCCAAUUCCUCUGUUUGCCACCAUUUCUACCUUCUCUGCAAAGCAAUCUUCUUUUCAAAUUUCUCUCAGUUUCCCAAUAUUCACACAAUCUUCUUAAAUGCAAUUCACAAAUCCCAAUUCUAUAGAUUAAUUCAUUUCAUCUCUGUAUAAAAAGGGUUUGGUUGCAUUUAGUCUUUUUCAAUCACUGACAUACUGCUGUGAUUUUUUUUUUGUUUUUUCGAUGGUCCUGUAGGGUGUUUAUGGCUACUGAUCGCUUUUGACACGCUUCUUCAUUCGGCUAUAUCUAUCUCUUUGUGUUAUGAAGAAGCGCUGUGGUGAAUUUUUAUUUUCAGACCUGAGUUUUUCUUCUUCUUCUUCUGGGUUGUUGGCUGAGUUGAAUUUUUCAUGGAAUUUCCUUGAUCCCAUUUUUAUUCAUUCUGGUAAUUGGAAUUUUAUAACUUUUUUUUUCUUCUCAAAUUCGAUUUUUUUUGUUUUUUUUUUAGGAAUUUGAGCAUGUGGGCUGUUUUAAUUUGUUGGUUUUUUUUUUGGAUUUUGAUGGAGUAGUGAUUGGUGGUGCGAAUUUGAAGAGGGGUUCAUGGGGAGCAUUGAUUAUGGCAAAUGUGUCUUUCCCUUGACUAGUUUGCAAAUCGGGUAACAAAUUCUUCUCUUUUUAGUGUUGAAUUGUAUCGAAUUCUGUAUUUCUUUGUUUCUUUCUCUGUAUAUGUAAAUUUUUGUUGGGUUUGUUUUAAUUUGUGAUGUGUCUGUGUGCUGGGAACUUUUUUGGUUCCUGUUACUUGUCUUUGUUUAUUGCCUGUAGAUAUACCAAUAAAUCUUGGAAAAAUAUUGGAACUUUGUUGCAUUGAAACAAAUAUAUGAUAAUUCUCUGGUUCUUGCUACUCUUUUGUUUGUUAAUUAAGUGGAGCUAAGGAGCAAAAUUUGUGGAAGAUAAAUCUUGAAUUUUCAUUACCUGCUACUUGAUGAUUUCUGGUUUUCUACCAUGAAUAACUUAUUCUGCUCAUCAGCCACUCAUUUGGGAUUACAAAAACUUUUUGGUGAAUUUGUGGGAAGUUGGAGGAGUUUGUUAGAGUCCAACUUGCAUUAAAUUGGCAGGAUAUAUGUUGUGAAAGAUGGGUCUUUUUUGGACUUUAAUGAGGCAUGUUAGUUCAUGCCGGGUAUCGAUGAGGAAAACAAACAAUCGAUAUUUUUUUAGUGAGGCAAGUUAGUCCUCAUUUUUUUUUUUCAAUGUAAAUGGUUUUUUGCAUUGUUAUAGACCCAAAACCAGCCUGAAGACUUUGAACUACUUCGUUUCAAAAGGAACUUCAGGCUUUAUUCUAUCAACAGAUUCAUAUUGAGAAUUUGACUUUAGGUAGAAUGUGUUUGCAUCAUUGAGGAAGCUGCGUGAAGUUACCAUAUGAUAGGCUCUCCAAAUGAAGUUAAAAGGGUUAGGAGAGGUUGUAUUAUUACUAGAGUGAAAAUCCACGAUUUGAACUUUGUAGGUUCAAGUUUGGGGUUCUAAUUCUGCGCAUUUCAUUUACUAGGUUUGCAAUCUGUAAUUUGUACUCAUCAAAGUGGAUUUUCUAACACAUACACAGUUUCAAGCCAAAGCUAUUGGGUUUAGAUGAAUCCAUAAGAUGUAUGCUAGCUCCGUUUAUGCUUAUUGCAUGGCUGGGCAAAUAAAAAAUCAUGUUGGUGACUUAAUGUUCAUUAGCAGAAUUGUAUCUUAGGAGAUUUUGAUAUAGCAGUUAAAAUUUAUAUCAAGUUCUAAAUUUUAUGUAAGUUGCUAUAAACCAUUAGUCAACAAUUUAUCUUUUUAGUUGUCUUAAUAUUAAAUACUGCUUUUAUAUUUUACAGGGACUUGCAGUCCUAUCUUUCACAUCUUCACGUUUUCCUCGCUCCUGAGAGUAAGAGAUUAUAUAUCUUGGUGGACAACCGUCCAUGGCUUAGAGAUCUUGUCUCUAAACCUGCACACUUAUGGCAAUUGAUGGUUACCAAGGUUGGUAGUGCAUCAUUUCCCUAUUUUCCUUUCUCUCUUUUCUGUAUGUUUAACUAGGAAUUUUGUUUUUCCAAAUGCAGUCCAGGUUAUCUCCCUUUGCAAAUACCAGAGGGAGGAAGCAGAGGAAAGAAAAUGGAGAUAUAAUGGAUAUAAAAUCUAGUCCAGAAUUAAGCACGAGUGAAUCAGAAAACGUCAGAAGAUGGUUUCCCUUUCUUGAUGCUGCAACAUUGUCCAAGAGGAGGGAAUUAUUACCUGUAAAGAAAUUGAGAAACUCUUUAAUUUUGAAUAGCAAAUUACAUAGGACCUUGUAUGGGUUCAUUGUGUUUGAAGUUGCGUGGAGUGAUGUGCGUGGUAUAAAUUAUUUCAAUGAGCUUCAGGUAUAAGUCACUUCCUUUUGGUUGUUUGACCUUUUAAAUGUAUGCUGCUAACUUAUUUUAAACUCUUGGGCAGACAGAUACGUCACUUGCCAUAGAAACAAAGUUCAUGAAAAGAUGGGAAUUUGAUAGUGUAGCACAAGCUGCUAAAUGCAUGUCGUCAUGGUUUUCUGGGACUCCCACAGAACAUCAUCUCCUGAAAGUGUGUUUGGAAUCUACUAUAGGUAUCCUUUAUUCACAUGGUAUUUGAUACUAUGCUUCUUUAUUUGAUUCAAUAAAAUAGUUACCUGGUCCUAUAUACGGCCACUGAUGACUUCAGCUCUUCCCCCAUUUUUCUUUGCUAUGGUUUAUGCAUGUAGAGAUCCACUUCUUUGUUUCUUAAAGUGUGCCUAUAAGAAAUGAACCAGUUUUCCUUGGUCGGAGGAACUAGACAGAGUUACAUAGUGAAUGGAAAACCACUGAUUAUCUUGGGAUAGAGAGUGCAAAAUACCACUGUCAUUUUGGAAAAAGAGAACUUUCAUUGACCGUCCUACUAGAAAUGCAAAUUUCUCACUCAGUAAUAGUGAUUUUUACUUUCCAUAGAACUUGUUCUAAUCCGCUUUCAUUAAACAAUUAUUUGGUCCAAAUAUUCGCAAAAACCCAUCUAAUCUGCUGUAAGUUCAUUUCUUCAUAUGUUACUUGAUGAACUCCUGUUCUGGGCAUGCGAAAUUCUUACAUGUAUUUUGCGGUGAACUUUUACAGGAGAGGUAUUUUAUGAUUCUCAAGACAUUUUUCGGCAGACUUCUGAUGUUGCUGACAGUGAUAUUUCUUCUGCCAAUUCAAGUGACGAUGAUGAAUCUCCUUGCGGUUCAAUGAGAAGUUUCAGUAUGUACCCUGCAACAGAAAAUGGUGAAAUUUCUCUGCAUACACCAACUCCACUUGAUGGGGCUCAUAAGAGAAGAAAACUUUUGAAGUCUAUCAGUAAACGAUUCAAUGUUGAUAUGCUCUCUGAGGAGCCCUUUUCUGAAACUAUUGAAUCACAACUACAUGGUGAGCCCUCUGACAGAAGUACUUCUGAAGUAGUUGAAGCCUCCCAGUACAAGGAUGUUUUGCUUUUGUUUCGGUUUAAUCAUCGCGAUUUUCCUUUCAAACUAAGAGACAUCAUUCUUUCGGACUUACGGCUUCUUAGACUACUUGAAGCUGGGCUUCCUUCAUGGGUCAUAUUUCUCCAGUCCUAUCCAGUAUUUUGCCAUAUAUAUCGCCCAUGGAUGUGCCCUCUAGCAAGAUUUUUAUAUGUCAUAAUCUCUGUGGUUACUGUUCUAAUUGGAUUUUAUGAUCUAUACAAAAAUGUACCUGUACUCAAAGCGACAGCCUCUAGUUUGUUUGGUCCACUGUUUGAUUGGAUUGAAACAUGGGAAAUGGUAUCAAGAAUUCAGUACUUGGGAACCAUGCUAUUUCUGCAUAAUUUUCAGAAGGCCUUCAGGUGGUUCCUCAUGACAAUGCGUACUACUCGGUCAUUUUUCUCCGUUAUCACACAGCCAAUGGCAGGUCCACUUGUUGAGUUUGUGGGAUUCUUCCUUCCUUACUCGACUAUGUGUGCACAAAUUAUGGAAGAUUUCUUUUCCGUAAUAUGGUUUACAGUCUGGUCUUCUUAUACCUUGGUGGGAAAAACCAUUGAGAUUUUAUUACUACCUCUCUGGUAUACCACAUCGUUUGUUUGGAAUCUUGGUAAGUGCAUGUGCAACUGCUGAAUAUGAUCCCAAUUCUCUUGCUUAAAAUGUGGUUUAUGAAUUUAAAAUUAGUACUCUCUGUGUGAGGCUUUUUUUUUUUUCUGAUCAGAUUUUUCUCAACUGCAGUGACUUAUUUAUUGUAUCCUAUCUUCUGGAUUCUGUGGGAAGUAACGUAUGCUCCAAUUCGCCUGGUCUUUGGUUUUUCUAGCCUUCUGGGCUUUUUAUGUACUUCUAUAUAUGAAGUGAUCAUGGAUUCAUGGCUGUUCGUGAGUAGCAUAGUUCGAGUCACUUCUCAGGUGGAGACUACAGUGACAUCCAGUGCAGUAUCUGUAUCCAUAUGGCGUUCUCUUUGGAAUGACCUUUUCUCUCAGGUAGCCCACUUGUGUCCAUUUGAUCCUAGUAUGAGAAGUAUUAAAAGUUCUCGUACUAAUACGUUUCUUCUGAGUUUUGACUUUUACAGAUUUUCAAAGCUCUUCGAAGUAUUCUCUAUGGUUUUGUUGCAUUUUUCACAGCCUGCAACAGACACCGGCUAAGGUAUGGUUUUCUAUUUUGCUGGUCUCUCUUUGAGAGUGUCAUUUUCUAUGGGUACUUUCCAAAUUAACUCAUUGCCUGCUGCCAUGUAGCAUUUGCAACCGACAGGAUGGGAGUUAGAUUUUGAAUUAGGAUGGAUGGCAUGGUAUUUAACAUAGAAAAAUAUAGUUAGGAUGUACGGGAUGGGUCUGAUUGGCCUCCUUAUGGUGGACUAAAUAUCUAAAUGGCCAAGGAAAUGUGUUAAUCAGCAAAACUGUGUGCUACUUAUCACCCCUUUAUGUAACCUGACUGCUAGUGUUUGUACAUUAUAGGCUCUAUCAAAAAGACUUGGAUUACAGCACAGAGCGAAAAAUAAGUGAAAACCUGUCCUGUUUCCGUGCAUCCCGAUAAAGAUUUAUUGAUCUAUUGCAACUCUGAAAUACUAAUAAUUUUUAACUGUUUAUGUUGAAAUUUUCGUGGGAUGCACCUACUCACCUUUUGGAUUGGUGGAUUGAAUCUUAAACAUUUUAUUUGCAGUAUCUAUAAUCAUAUGAGUGAUUUUAUCCAAAGAUUAUCCCAGCCUGGGAAAAGGUCACAGCCUGCAGAACGUGGCCGCAGUCCACCAACAUCUGGAACACAAAUCACAGUAAGUUUACAUCAUUUCAAGUCUUGUUAAUCAUAUUUGCUAUUACAUCCUUAUCAAAUGGUAAAAUUCUGUUACCUUUUCGGAGGAUGUCCGUUUCUCAUUAUGGUGUAGUGGUUGGGUUGUGUUUGCUCCUUUCCUUUUAGAACUUGCUUGGUUCCAGUAUUUGUGCAUUAGACUUGCUAUCUAAAAUUUUCAGUAACUUUAAUACUUCAUCAUUUUCAUGCCAAAUGAUUAUUCACUUGUGCAGUGGGUGGAUACAAAAGAUGUGCACCACCAGCGAAAAUUCAGAAAGAUCGAUUGAUGAGAGAGAGAGACCUCUGCGCCUUUUAACUUGUACAGCAAAAGUCAACUCCAGGAAGUUUUCCGUGGGUGGCAUAUGUAGGAUAAGGUGUAUAGGAAAUCAGUUUUGCUCAGUUAUUUGGCUUCUCCUUGGCUGUGAUGUUUUUUGUUGCUAUCUACUUUUUUAUCGUCCCCUUAUAGUGUUAAGGACGGGGACUCCACCUUGAGCUUGUAGCAUACCAGAAAAUGUCUUGUAAAUAAUGCGAACAUGGAGAUACUUUUUGAAAUACAAAGUAGAAAUGUUAGAAGUAUCCAAUGUCUGCCAAGUAACAUUUCUCCUUUGGAGUUGUAUCUCCCUUUCAUAUUACGUGUACCUGCUCUAAGCCCAGCAGAUAUAAACAAGAUUGUACAAGUAUGGGUUCUGUGUUGUCUGCAAUUUAUGAAGCCCAAUCAAACAAUACUCUAGUUUUCUCCUUGAGUUGUGAAACUAACGAGUCCAUUAUCUUUUUUCGAAACUAACGAGUUUAUUAGAAAAUCGAAUUAUGAAUUUUCAAGCAGAUGGAUUGAUCUUAAUUGGAAAUGGAAUAACAAGUGUUUAGAAAUCGAAUAAGAUUCUAGUUUCUCGUGGCGUCUAAUAUCUAAGAUGGAAGUUCACCACAUUAAUCAAAGCAUGAGAUGCACAGUAAUCUCAGAUAGAUAAUAGGUAGAACAAGCAACACUUCAAUUUCACGACAAGAAGCAACGGGAGAUCUUCUUGCAACAGUAAGCAAUACGUAGCUAAGUUCAUACAAACAUAGGCAAAACCACAAAGCUUAUAUAUGCUUCUACAGUACCUAAAGUAGCACAAGCUACAUUCAUUAAAGUCUACCACCUAGAAACACAGUCUAUGUCCAUAAACAAAAGAGAUGAGAUGCCUCAAACAGUUGAGCCUCCAGUUUGAUGCAACAUUGCAUCAAUUUCAUCGCCAUCCUCCAUCUCCAGCUGAAGCAAGGAAGAAAAAUUGUUAGAGAAAAAGAAUUAAUCACAACAGUAUAAAGCAUAAGGAGUAAACGAACAUUGUGUUUUUUUGUGUACUAUUUGUUCCUUCUUUUGUUUUAUGUGUGCACACAUGGGUCUGAGAGAGGGAGAGAGGGAGAGAGAGAGAGAUACCUCAUCUGGAGUUUGCUCUCCUCGAAGACGACGACCAUCAAACAAGAAUGCAAUUGAAUUAAAAUCCACAGACUGCCGGUCACAAUAUGCAUUCAUGAGUUUCUUUAGCUGGGUGCUUCUUUUGAUCCUAAAGAAGACUUCAUUCCCAUCCUGCAACCAAUAAAAAGCUAAAUAUGUAAAUCUCUCACCAUUGUCCAAUUCGUUAUGGCAGCCAAGAGGGCACUUCUCUUUAACCGGCAGCCAUCAACAGUAUGAUGAGAAAGGAAGAUGGAAUCAAUCACACACAACAUCACAUUCCGCAAUCACAUUGCAAAGCAAACAAAGAUCACACAUAAUUGUAAUAUGAUAACAACAUAGAUACGACUAAGGGAAGUUGUCUACCACUAAUUGAUGCGAGCAAUUUAUGUGUAGCGUCAAAGCCUACCAUUGAUGACUAAGGCAUGAUCCUCAGCGAACACCAUCGGUUACACUAUACCUAGUACCUUGGUUUAAUACCCUAUCAAAUAGAUGUAUACAAAUAUCAAAAGCAUAGAGCUAUCUCAAUCUAACACAACAAACACAGAAGAAAAGUGUCGCUUUACCAUCUAUAAUCUCACCCCCUAUAAUAACCCUUCCCCACAAGAAUGAUUGGAAUCCCCACAAGGGAAAAAGCCUAUUCUAGAAGCCAAUAUCUUACAUGUAUUCAAACAAUAUCUUACAUGUAUUGAAAAUUAUAUUCAGUACCCUAUGGAGCAAACAGCUACUUUUUACCCACUCGAUCAGACACGGUUGAUAAUAAACCUGGCUUGGUAAAUGGCUCAGGAAUUAGAGACUUUUGCAACCACAUAAUGCACACAAGAGUUUUAAAGGGAAAUGAUGACUACUCUUUCUAAAAAUCAAUCUGAAAAACAUAGAUUAUCUUUGAUUAAUGAUGCGGAGGAAUGUUUUUUCACCUCAAAACACAAAAAGUUACAUUAUUAUUACUAAUAUAAGUACAUUCUUUGCAAAAACAAUGAUACAUAAACCCAACUCCUCACAAAUGGCACACUUGAAACAUUUCAUAAGCUUCUGUAUUUGCAUCAAGACUAAUCACAAGAUUCACUAGCAGUAAUAACAAAAUACUGUGACUAAAAUAUGAGAUAACUGUUCAAGCAUUCAGUUUCGAAUGAGUUGGUUAAUGUUUUCAAACAAAUUUAGACUUUGCACGUCAGUUAUAGAAAAUUUAAAACUACCCCUGCAGCAUAAAAGAAGCCCAAUCCAAAUUUAAAAGAAUGAAUAAACAAGCAAACAAAAUGAAACAACAAUUGAAACACAUUAUCAAAAAUCAAAAACAUGUUAAAUGCACCUAGCAAGAACACCAAAACUAAUAUGAGAUUAGCAGUUAAAUCAUUCAGUUUCGCACAAAAUUUCCUACUUUAUUCAAGUCAAUUUAGUGCUUAUCAAAUGAGUCUCUGCAUGAUUUCAAACAAAUUUAGCCAUGAAAUUACACAUUUGGCCAUAAAAUUCCGGAAAAAAAUAAAUCCCGUUUUCAGAAAUUCCAAAAAGAACAAAAAGUUCAUUUUUUUCCACUCCAAAUUACUCACAAAAAUUAAAAAACAACUUUAAUUUACUUCAUGGCCAAACACAACUAUACAUUAUUUUUCACUUUGAAAAUAAAACCUGUUUUCUUUUUUUUUCAAUUUUCUCAAUGAAACAGAGCCAAAAACACCUGCUAAUAGACUCACAAGUCAGUUACAGAAGAUCUAAAACACUCCUGUACAGCAUAAACGAAGCUCAAUCCGGAUUUUAAUACAUACAUACAAAUAAAAACAACUGCAACAUAUAAUCAAGUAUGAAUACAAACAACAGGACAUUCAGACAUGCCUGCCUUCGAAACGAAGACUGAAUCUAACACAUACUCCGUCUGUCCCAAUUUAUAUGACACUUUUCUUAUUUUUUGAGAGUUUCAAUUUAACAGUAAAAAAUUACCGUUAAACAUAAACUUAUUUGAAUGUCGAAAUCAAGAAGCGUCAAACAAAACCCUAGGCAGGGGAGACAAUAUGCGAGAAAGGGAAAAGGGCAGACCUGACUUUUGACUUUGAGAUUGAUGUGAAUUUGAUCGCCGCCGGGCUUCUUGUCUUCCUCCGCUGUUUGAGACAUUUUUUUCUCACGCCUAAAACCAAAAGAAGAAAAAAGAGAAGAUUAUAGGAUUAUCAAUUUUAAGGUUUUUGACUUAUUUAUACUUGUACUCUUUUCUACUCUAUUUCCUCUUCUACCCUUCGCGUAAAAACCACGCAACUUUUCAAUUUUGUCUUUUCCUCUUUUUUUUUCUCUAAGUUCUUUAAUCAACUAAUUACAACUUGUUUGGAUGCGUUACGUAUGAUGGGAAUUGCCAAGUGGAAAUAUAGGAUAUAUAUGUUUAUUUGUUUAAUUUUGUAUGGAUUUGUAUAUUUAAAAUUAGAGAGUAUAAAUAUCAGGUGAAAUUUGAAGAAAAAUCUUUUUUAUUUAUAAAUUUAAAGGUUCUUGAAUCCUACUUUAAGUUUUAUCUAUUCUGUAUAUUCUAUAUUUUCUGUAUAUAUUGAAAAUAACUAGUAACAUUUCUAUUUAUAAAGGUAAAAAUCUAAUUAAACUAGGACUAGAAACUACUCUAACUAACAAUUUCUAAUUAAAUAUAAAUAAAUAAAUAACAUAAAUAACAAAUUCUAAUCAACUUAGGAUUCCUACUCCAAAUUAUUAUUUCCAACGAAAUCCAAUUAAAUAAUUUCCUAAUUACUUGUCCAUUUUUUAAUAAUCACAUCUAUUAAGAAAACAAUUAUUGACAUAGUGAGUUUAUCAAUUUACUCCUAUUAAUUAUGAAGUGGAUGAAUUAAAAAACUUAAGAGUUAUAAGAAAUUCUACAUUUUUCAAAGUAAUUAAUUGAUGGUAAAUAGGUAAAAAAUUGUCAUUUAUUGAUUUGUCAAAAUGGACAAGUAGACAUAGACAACUAAAAAAAAAAUGGACAAGGAAUUAGGAACAUAGGGAGUAUAUUUAUAGUUGAAUAAGAUUUAAGUUAUUUAUGUAUGAUUCGUAUAAUUUAUAUGAUAUUUCGUUGGUAUAUAAAAAAUAAGUUAUUCAUUUAUAAAAUUAAUACGAUGUUUGGUUAAUAAUUUAGAAACUGACAUAACAAAUACAUAUAUAAUUAAUAUUUUUAUAAAAUUAGUACAUAAAUUUACUCAUAAUUAAUUCCCACAUUACUAAUUAAUGAUCACCGAUUCUAAGUUUCUAAUCAGCUAGGAAACGGCCGAAGAGUUUGUAAACCUUGAAGAGUUCUUUUUCUACCUUACGUGUAGUCAAUUUUACUUCCACGUUUCAAGUCGUACCAAUAAUUAAAAUUUAUCUUGGUACUACUACCCUUACUUUUUAUGUUGGGGUUGAGAUUUUGAAAUUGUUCAUGUCCCCAAAGCCCAAGUUGUAUUUUGUUUACAUAAAUAAUAUAUUUUAGGGGAAAAAGAUUAAAGAAAUGUCCUUAAAUUACGUAAAAGAAACAAAAAUAUUUUUUGUUUAUAAUUUGGUUUAAAAAUAUCCUUACCGUCAAUACUUAAGUUCAAAAAUGCUCUUGCAAUCAAUAUUUUGGUCUAGAAAUGCCCUUAUAGUUACUAAAUGGGUAAAAAAUAUCAUUUUUCAAAUAAAUAUUUUAUUUUUUUCUUUUUAAACAUAUCUUCUUCCUAAUUAACAUAUUAUUAAAGAACAUUGUUCUUGUUUUCUUUCUUUUAAAAUCACUUAACAAAUAAAAAUAUAGCAAUUUUUUUUCUUCUUAAUCUCAUGUUAUCAAUUAAAACAGAAUAAUUUCAUGUACCCUUACGACAGAUAAUUUAUGUCAUAUAUAUAAAAUCAUAGUAUAUCCAUCAUAAAAAAUAAUUAUAAUAGAAUAAGAAAUGUUGUCAUUUUUGUUCCUUUCGCAUAAUUUAAGGGCAUUUUUUUACCCUUUUCCCUAUAUUUUAUUUGAUUAGUUACACUUUUAAGUGUUACUUUAUUUUUAUUACCAUAUAUGACAUAAAAUUAGCUUUAAUAACCAUUUGAUAUAAAUAUGUAUUAAAGUUGUAUUAAAAUUGUAUAUUAGGUGUUGCAUUAAAGUUGAAUCAAAGUUGUAUUAAAUAUAAAAAAUCGGUGGUCUGGUGGCGGUGACUACGAAAAAGAAGAGGUGAAGCUUUGAAAAUCUGUAUUAAAUUGUAUAAUAUAAAGGAUAGUUAUAAUACAAUUCGAAUUCGAUAUUAUACAUUACUAUAACUUCGAUAGUUAUUAAUCCAGAACAAAUAUAAUACAUUUCUAACAAUGUCAACUAAUUUAAAUAGUACCAAAAUGUUUGAAAUUCACAUAUAAUACUUAUAAUAUAUUUGUAUUAAAAAUAUUUUAGUUAUAUAUUAGAUGAAGUUCUGAAAAUUGUAUUAAAGUUGAAUCAAAAUUGUAUUAAAUAUAAACAAACCGAUGAUCUGGUGAUGGUGAUUUACCGGAAAAAAAAAGAGGUGAAGCUCUGAAAAUUUUGUAUUAAAAAAACAGUGAUAUUGGCCAUGUUAUUUGUGGUAAGAAAGUAAGGCUAAUCUGUAUAAGAGUAAAAGAUAUGUUAUAAUUCGUAAAUAUAGUUAUAUAAUAUAUUAUUUAUGUAAAUUUAUACAGUCAAAUUUCUAUAGUAUUUAUAUAAUAACACUUUAAUAUAAUAAUUUUUUUUUUCCAAAAUCAGUUUUUUUGAAAUUCUCUUUCUCUAUAAUAAUUUAAAAAAAAUAUGUAAUAACAAUAACCAUCUUUAUAACAGACAUUCUUUUGAUCAAAUAUUUUAAUAUAAUAUUUAUGACAAGGGAAUAGUAAGUUUAAGUUGAAUGAAUAAUGGUUAUCCAAAUAGAUCUAACAUAUAUCAAUCGAAAUAAUAUAAAUUUAUGUCAUAAUCCAUAUAUUGUUCAAUUUUAACCUAACUCUUGGGCCAAUAUAUGUCCAAUUUCUUAGUUAAGUCCAAAUGCUAAGGCCUCAUUUGUUUUCAUUAAGAUUAAGACGUCUGAAUCUGAAUGCACAUUUGAAUAUUAAGAUGUGCAUUAAGAUUAAGAUGUCAGAAUAUAAAUGCACAUUUGAAUAUUAAGAUGUAUUUUCUAGGUCUGAACACGGAAUCAUUAAGAUUGUUUGUUUUCAAUAUUUGAAUGUACAUAGUUUUUUUAAAACAAAAAUUGAAUUAAACACUAUAUCAAUAAAAAGUUAUAAACCAAACCAAUAUAAUUUCCUCCAAAAAAUUAUCUCAAGAAUAAGUUUAUAACUCACCCCAGAAAAAAUAUUUUAUUUUUUUCUCAAGAAACAAUGAUAACUUCUUCCAAAGAAGUUUUGACAACAAACAAAUUGUGAGAAGAAGAGUUCUUCAUCAGUAUCAAUUCACCCAAGAAUAUUGUAUAUAUUAAAAAUAUUAGAUAAAUGCUUAUAAAAGAUUAUGAAAACUUACUUAUUCAAAAGAAAAAAAAAUGAUAUUUGGUUGGAAAAGAAAAGGAAGAAACUUGAAACUUGCUUAGAAGAGAAACAAGGAAGAAGAAAAUUUAUUAAUGAAAGAACGCUUAUUACUUUAGUAGAGUCUGAACGGUAUUAAAACUUUGUUAUAGAUCUGAUUCACUUAGAGUCAUUAAGACUCAUUAAGAGGUUUUUUAUAAAAAGAAACAAAUAAACGUAAUUGACUGAAUUUGAAUGAUUAAGAUUCAGACCUAAAGAUCAAACGCAGUUAAUGGGCUGAAUCUGAAUAAUUAAGAUUCAGACCUCCAUUAAGUGCAAACAAAUAAGGCCUAAGACUCUCUCAGUGAAUGCACCUUCGUGAUUCAAAAUUAUAAAGCUAUUAUUGUUCAGUCUUACUUGUUUUUAUUGAGAUUAAAAUAUUUUGAAUUUGAAUAUUAUGAUGGGAAGACUAACAUGUUUGAAUCUAGAUGAAAAGUUACUAAUAUUUUUAUCAUACAAUAUAAUAUUAUAACAGUUCAUUUCAGUAAAAUAAAAAUUAUAUGUGUAUAGAAAAUAAUAUUUCAAAGAUAUAAAUAUAUAUUUAAACAUUGGUUCUAUUUAAUCUUUAUUGAUCACUCUUUUUUUAUUUUGACAUGCUCUGUAACAAACACUAAAAUGGUUGUAGUGAUUUUCUCAACUCAACAAUCAAACAAUAGAGAGAACAAACUAACAAGCUUUGAUUCAUACAAAAAUGAGCAAUUACAAUAUGAAGAACUCGAACAAUAACAGUAACUAUAAAGAAGAAGGGAUGAGGGAACUAAGAGAGAAUUGGAGAUGAGAACCACAACCUUUGCCUAAGCAUAAUCAUAAUUUGCAUAAACCUAUUUUGCUCUCAAAAGACUCUAUUUAUCAAUCCGAAUCCCACACAUAACCACUUAAUUUGGUGUUGGGCCGCUUUGUCAAUACUGAUCUAGGCCCAUUCAUAACAUGCUCUAUAAUUAGCAUUUUCAGGAACAAGUCGGCAAGUGUUCGUUUUGGAGGCAUCACACGUAAAACAAAUGUUGAACAAGUCGGCAAGUAGUUCUUUAAAGAAGACAAAAUCAAGUGUUACAUUUAAAGUUGGUGACAAAUUGUAUUCGUGAUAAAUCCGAUUUAAUCUCUUUCAUGCCUUACUUUAUUUUUUUGGAUCUCGUUGGCUUCUUUCUUCUUUCUUUUACUCUCGUUUGCAUCUCUCCUAUCUCUUUUAGUCUUGCUCAUCCCUCUCUUCUCUUAAACGUAUAGCUAUAAAUUGUCAUUAAGCAAAUUAUAAUUAUAGAUUCCUAAUCAAGUUUAUAAAGUAAAAACAAGACUGGAUAUACUCUAAUUUAUUCAAAUCCUACUUCAGAAAUUUUACUAAAUAUAUCAUUUUUUAAACAUAAUCGAAACUCUUUCAUAAACAACUCUCGAGACAAUGACUUUGAAAAUACUUAAAAGACCUAGAAACAAGGAGAAGGAUACAAAAGUAUAAGCUCAUCAACGGGACAAUCUCUUUUUAAGUUCAAUUUCAUGAUUCAAUCAACUACAGUAAAUCUCUAUAUUCAACAUUAAUAAAGAGGCGUCUCCUAUUUUUAGAAACGGUCGAUUAAGUGGGGUCUUGGAAUAUAAGUGGGGGCCAUGUGCUCUGCUUCUUCCACUUCAUUGGCUUCUUCAUCAAUCGUAGGACCCACCACUUAUCUCUUCGAUCCCCUCAAUUCUCACUCUCCACUAAACGAAAAUAUGAUUAUUUUCUCUUGUAGUAUUUGAUAGAAAUAAUAAUAUAAAUAAUUUCUUUUAGUUUUUCAUUCAAUUUAAUGUUCGAUAUUCAUAUUGAAGUCUAUUUAUUUUGGAUUCACGCCACUAAGGCCUCAUUCGAAGAGAAAAGCUCCCUCAUAUCCAAGACAAAUCCGAAAGCUAAGAAACAGCCUCAUCCGCUGCAUCAUAUCUUUGACAGUAAUUCAAUAAAUAUUUGACAUAAAUUAAAAAAUGAAUUUUUGGCUAAAAUCAUCCUUAAUCUAUACCCAAAACUUAAACUACAUCCUUAAAGUAUCACUCUUAACAGAAAAUAUCCUUCAAGUAUUUAAAAGUGAACAAUUUUCAUCCUUCUACAUGAAUUUAUCAGAAAACUAAUAGAUCCCAUAAAAAUCAAGUCAUCCCUUCAUAAUUAUUAUUCUUAGAUACGUCAAAAAUACUAUUGUGAACUUUUUCGGUAAUUGAGUUUUAUCAUUAUGCAAAAUCUUUUAAUUUGACUUUUUUUCCCCAUGUAAUUUGAUAUUAAAAAUAUUAUUAGUUGAAUAUGUUUCUUCUCAAUUGAAUAUGCUAGAAGCGGCGUUUGUUGGAGACUUCCACUUCUAAUAAUGUAGAAUGAAACUCAAAUGCGAGACAUAAUCAAUACUUUGAUCACUUCAAUAUCAGAAUGACCCAAAAAUUUAUUGAUCUUAAUACAGUUUAACUUUGACAAAAAGUAAAGAUAAUUAAGCUCCAGCUUCUUUCCGUUACUAAAUGAGAAAAAGACCAGAUCAUGUAUCCUCACACCUUCCAAACAUUUUUUGUUUCAGUAAGCAAUGGUGCCUGAGAUUUUUAAUAUUUUUUUCAGGAACUUCUUAUAGCAAGUAAUGAAAUUAUGCAUGAAAAUUUUUGUUGAUAAUCACGUGAACUGCUCAAAUUUUUAUAGAAUCCUUUAGUUUUUUGACAACAUCUAACAGAAGGAUGAAAAUUGGUCACUUUUAAAUACUUGAAAAAUGUUUUCUGCUAAGAAUAAUACUUUAAGGAUGUAACUUAAGUUUGAGGUAUAGUUUAAGGAUGAUUUUGGCCAAAAACUCAAUUAAAAACAUUAAAUUUUAACAAAGCAUAAAAAAUCAAAACCAUUAACACUCAUAACUAUUUAGAACUUACCCUCAAACAAAAAAGCACCAUUUUUAUCAUUUCUAUCCCACUAUACACACACUUCCCCCUAAUUUCUAGCUCUCUUACCCUCACAACCCCUUUAAAGCACCACUCACUUUCAUGCUCUGUUUCUUCAUCAAGCAAUAGAGCAUGGAAAAACUCACCAUUUGUCUUCUCCUCUUCGCCUUUUCCCUUUCCCUUUUCUCCUCCAUUGCAGGUAACAACUCUUUUUCUUUAAUUUUUUUCUCACUAACUUCACAUUAUCAUAAUUUUCUCUCUUAAAUCAUCUUUUUUUGUGGUGCAUUUGCAGAUGCUGGUUCAAUUGGGAUAAACUAUGGCCGUGUAGCUAACAACUUACCAUCAGCAGUGAAAGUUAUAGCGUUGUUGAAAUCUCAAGGCGUUGAGCGUGUGAAGGUCUACGAUACUGACCCAGCUGUGCUCAAAGCUCUUUCUGGAUCCGACAUUAAGGUUACUGUAGAUCUGCCUAAUGAGCUUCUCUACAAUGCCGCUAAACGGCCAUCUUUUGCUUACUCAUGGGUGGAGAAAAAUGUUGCUGCUUAUUACCCAUCAACUCAAAUCGAAUCCAUUGCUGUUGGAAAUGAAGUUUUUGUUGACCCACAUAACACGACCCGUUUUCUUGUAUCCGCCAUGAAGAAUGUACAUCAAGCUCUUGUUAAGUUUAAUUUCCAUGACAAAAUCAAAAUCUCUUCUCCUGUUGCUCUUAGUGCUUUGCAGAACUCUUACCCUUCUUCAGCUGGGUCGUUCCGAUCCGAAUUGGUCGAACCUGUGAUUAAACCCAUGCUGGAUUUCCUCCGGCAAACGGGAUCUUAUCUAAUGGUGAACUGUUAUCCCUUUUUUGCUUAUGAGUCGAAUUCCGAUGUUAUUUCUCUUGAUUAUGCUCUGUUCCGUGAAAACCCCGGCGUUGUUGACGCCGGUAACGGACUUCGUUACUUCAGCCUGUUUGAUGCCCAAAUCGAUGCUGUUUUUGCUGCAUUGUCGGCUUUGAAGUACAACGAUAUCAAAAUGGUUGUAACGGAAACUGGCUGGCCAUCUAAAGGAGACGACACCGAAAUCGGCGCUACCGUCGACAACGCCGCGUCGUACAACGGAAACCUCGUCCGGCGGAUACUCAUCGGUGGUGGAACCCCCUUAAGACCUAAAGAAGACCUCACCGUCUUCCUCUUCGCUCUUUUCAACGAGAACAAAAAACCGGGUCCAACUUCCGAGAGAAACUUCGGGUUGUUCUACCCGAAUGAGCGAAAAGUUUACAACAUACCAUUAACAAUGGAAGGUUUAAAGCAUUACGUGGACCGGCGGUCACCGGUGGCCGGCGACCAGAGAACGCAGAAAGGCGGGAAGGUGAAUGUGUCAGGGCAAACAUGGUGCGUAGCGAGUGGAGAAGCGGAGAAGGAUCACCUACAAGCAGCUCUAGAUUAUGCUUGUGGUGAGGGCGGAGCUGAUUGCCGUUCGAUUCAACCAGGGUCCACGUGUUACAAUCCUAACACGUUAGAGGCUCAUGCGUCGUUCGCUUUCAAUAGUUAUUAUCAGAAAAAAAGUCGUGCGAUGGGUUCGUGUUAUUUUGGUGGGGCCGCUUUCAUUGUUCAUCAACAACCUAGUAAGUACACCAUAUCAUUUCUCCAUAAUAUUAUUAUUAUACUAUUAUUUAUUUUAUUUAAUUAAUUAAUUUGCGUGUUGGAUUUUGCAUUUUUUCAACCUUGAUUACUGUGACACGUUUGACUUAUGAAGUAUAAUGGUUGAUGGUAAAUUACUAAAUUUAAUGUGUGGCGCACUUUAAUGGGUGAAUUUGCUAACGUGUACUUUGUAAGGGCCCCACAGAUAGGUAAAAUUUGUUGUUAUUAGUUAAUGGUGCAAUCCAGGCAGGUCAUGGAGACAGCACGUGAUGGAUGGAGACGUUUGGGUUAAUAAUCGUACCUGUUGCGGGUGGGAGGUUAGAAACAAGUAUUUCAUAGAAUUAGUCGAGUCAUGGUUAGCUUUAUAUCAUGGUUUAUGACGUUCAAGUUUAUGGUUUAGUGGCUAUUGAAAUGAUUGAGUGAGUGAUUCUUCUUAUCUGUUUUAUAUUUUAUCGACAGAGUUACUUGAUAUCUAUUAUUGUUCUUGAUAUCUAUUAUUGUUCGAAGGUUAUAACUUAUAAGUAUCUCAUGCGAAUAAUUCUUUUUGAGUUUGUUUUUUCCAAUAUCUUGUUGAAUCAAUGGAUAUUCGUGGCUGGUCAAAAUGAAACUAUAGUAUUACUAUUUAUUUACUGAUGUAUGUAUGGUUGAUAGUAAAAGUUUUAGCUUUGGUACGUUAAAGCUGAGAAUAAAGCAUUUCGUUGAAUAAAUUUAUACAUCUAUCUGUUUGCUUUUUGUAGAUCAUAUUUUCUUUUUAUUAGUACCUGAAAGUUACUGGUCUUGUUUUGCACAUUUCACCCACUCAAUUUUUCUUCUAUAUGUUGCACUUUUUGUUUGUUUAUUUAUUUACAUUUGAGGUAAUAUUUUUGUUAUUUAUUGUUUUGCAGAGUAUGGACACUGUGAAUUACCAACUGAAGAAUGAUAAAGGAAUGGGAUAGACUGAAUUUUGAUAGCAGCAGCUAGCUCUAAUUUAUUGUAGUAGCUACUUUUAUUUCAGACUUCAGACUAUUCUUUUUUGUUUUUUUGGUAACUUUAGUAUCUCCAUUAGUUGGUGUUGACAUCACCUUUACUAGCUACUAGUAAAUGUUGCUAUAUUUUCCCUUUUCUGUUUAUAUGCUAUUUUAAUUCUAAUGCUUUAUGUGAAAAAUCAUUAUUUUAUAUAGACUUGUACUGGUGACAUAUCGAUAAAUAUUUUAACAUGACAGUAUUUUAGAAUAUUAGCUAGUGGCAGUUUAAGAAAGAAUAUCUUUUUUUAAGACCAUCUCUUCUUCUUUAUUUUCACUCAACACAAAACAAGAGCGUGAGACACCUUAAAAAGACAGUAACAGUCGGAUUUUUACCUUUAAAGACCAUCUCUUCUUCUUUAUUUUCACUCGACACCAUUGUUGGACAAAUUUGAGCUUUUUUCUUGUCUUUUUUUCGAUCUUGUCUCUUCAAAUUUCUUCUCUUUUAUUUUAUCCUUUGAUUUACUCAUUUCUGUUUUUGUGUGUGAUUCUAUUGUAUUUUUGUUGGUUUGAUUUUGUUGGUCUCCAUGAUGGCAGCUCGAUGUAGUCAACCUAAUCUCGACAAAAGUAUUUAGCUAAUGUCAUGACUCAAAUAAGACUAAUAUAAAUUACGUGAUGACAACUUUACCAUUUCUCCAAAGCCUUGAUUAAACCCUAAUUUACAAAAAAAAAAAAUACUAGAAAAAGAAAGUAGCCAAAAAAGAAAACAAGAAUGGUCGAUGCCUCCCUUCUUCAUCUGUCAAAGACUCAAUUUUGUUCAUCAUUUCAAUAUCUUCUUCUUCCAUAGUUUCUCUCUCUACACCUCUGUUUUCAUAAAAAUAUAUAAAUUUAUCUGAAUUUCUUCUUCUUUUUGUUCUUCAUUUCCGUAUAUA